rnacentral:lncRNA from 1 species
UCACCUGGUGCCAUAUACCCAAUAGUUGCAAGAGUCAUGGUUUGCUUCAUUACUUCACCUUCUCCCAACAAUUUGGCAACGCCAAAAUCUCCAACAUGUGCAACCAUGUCUUCAUCUAGUAAAAUAUUGCUUGGUUUUAUGUCACAAUGAAUUAUAGGUGUUGGAUGUCCAUUGUGGAGGUGUUCUAUAGCUACCGCAACAUCUAUCAUUAUGUCGACCCUUUGUAUGAUACCAAGGAAACAAUUUUCAGAAUGUAACCAUUUCUCAAGGUUUCCAUUAGACAUGUAAUCAAGCACCAAGGCUUUGAAGUCAACACUUGAGCAGUAAGUAAUGACCUUCACAAUAUUACGAUGAACUAUAUUAAGCAUAGCAUCACAUUCAAUGUCAAAACUCCUAAAUGCUCCCUCUGUUUGCAAAUUGAAAACUUUUAUUGCAACUUCCAUUCCAUCUGAAAGCCUCCCUUUAUAUACAUAUCCAAAACUCCCUGAACCAAGCGUAUUGCUUUCCUCAAAUCCAUUAGUUGCUCGUGAAAGUUCAGCAUGUGAAAUUCUUCUCAGUGUCUUCAAAGACAACAAAUCAUCUUUAACUGGUAGAGCUGUACUCCUUUGGCAUCUUCUAUACAUAAUAGUUAAGACUAUUAGUACUAGGACAAUACCAAUUGUUGGUAAACCAUACCUAAAAGCAUGCAAUAUAAUCAUUUGGGAGUUUUUGUGGAUGUCAUUUUUGCAAGGUGGGACUAGCAAUCUAGGUGGACCACAAAGUGCACAAUUAUUCAUGAAUGAUGUGCUAGAAAAGUUUGAAAAACAUCCUUUGCUGGGAAUUUCCCCUUCAAGUCUAUUGAAAGACACAUUAAAAUACUUUAGAUAUAAAAGCUUUUCCAAAGAUUUGGGAAUGACUCCAGAGAGAUUGUUAUUGCAUAAAUCCAAGAAUUCCAAACUAAUCAACCCUUCAAAUGAUUCAGGGAUAUGACCAUAUAGUAUGUUAUUUGAUAAAUCUAAUGAAACCAAAGUUAUAAGACCCCCAAAUGUGGAUAAGAUAUCGCUCGUGAGAAGAUUCCUUGAUAAAUUUAGUCUCAGUAGACUCCUAAAAUUUCCAACAUCAAUAGCAUGUGAAUUGUGAAGACGGUUUGAUGAUAAAUCUAUUUCUAAGAUAUCUUUAAGACUCCACAAAGUUGAGGGUAUUGUAGAACUCAAUUUGUUGGAACCUAACCAAAGAUAUCUCAAAGCAGAAAUAUUACCUAAACAAGAGGGUAUGGAUCCAUGCAGCUUAUUCAACCCUAAAUACAUCUCGUAUAGUCUCUCCAAACCACAAAGGCUUUCUGGGAUAGGCCCUCCUAAUUUAUUAGAGGAAAGACCUAGAAUUUGGAGAUUUCUCAUUCCUCCUAUUGAUGCUGGAAUCAAUCCACUUAAUUUAUUAUACCCAAGAUCUAAAAGCAAUAGGUUGGUUAAGUUACCUAUUUCCAUAGGAAUAAUGCCUUGAAGCUCACACUCUGUGGCAUGAAAGUAUUGAAGGGAUUUUGAAAGGUUCCCGAAAUAAGUAGGAAGAACGCCACUCAAUGGAUUUCCUGAAACAUCUAUUAUGCUCAAAUUCCUACAAUUCGUCAAAGAAGAAAGAAAGCUCCACUCAUGAUCAGUAGCAGAUCCUGUGAUCAAAUUAUUGUCAUAGAUUUGGAGCCAUACAAGUUGUCUUAAGCUGCCAAGCGUUUUAGGGAUUGGGCCAGAGAAUGAGUUAUCUCCCAAGUCUAGUUCCUUAAGCAUGGAAGCAUUGGAGAUAGAGUUGGGAAUGUUUCCGCUAAGUUUAUUUCCCCACAGUAAAAGAAUCUGAAGCUUUGGAGCAUUGGUAAUGGGUGGUAAAUUACCUGUAAAAUAGCAUCUUUUAGAAAACAUUCACAAAAUAUAUAAUACAUUAAAAUAAAAACUUUAAAUCAAUUAAGAAUAAAAUUUUGGCAUGGAAAAAUGUGAUGAAAUCAAUUAGAAAGUUGAGACAUAAUAAGAAGUUUUGAGUAGUAAUUAGUCCUUGUGAUUUGUAUAGACAAAACAUAUAAUACACUGAUAAUUUUUUUAAAAUAUUGUAAAACCUGAAAUAAAAUAAAAAAUAAAAGUUUGGCACGAGAAUGUGGCAUCUAAUCAUUCUUAAAAAUAAGACUAACAUUAAAUAAUAAUUAGUUAUGAUUUGAGAAACAAAAAUGUUAAAGAUGUAAACUGGUAUGAUUUUUAUCUAUUGGGUUAAUUAUUUAUUUUUAUUAAAUUAUAUAUAGUGUAAAAUUUAAAGAUUAUUAUUUGCUCAAAAUUUUUGUAUUUUAGGAUUUUAGGAUCGCAUUUAAUUCAAUUGUAUUUAAGACCUCAUGAAUUUAUUCUAUAAUUUGAGUCUUUUCAACCUUUUGGGAAAUAAUAAAACAUCGACAUUAAACUUGUUGUUGAUGCAUUCAAUUUGAUUUUUUGAGGGGUCAUUGGAGUUAUAUGUGAAUUUAGCAUUGAUUGACUUUUUUAGAAUUAAUCUUUUAUACCAAUUUAAUAACAUCGACAUGUUUUUGGGUAGGGUCGAGCAAAACCCAAUUAAAACCGAUGAAAUUGGUUUAGUUAACUCGGUCAAGUCCAUUAGAUGGAUAAAAUCAAUUUUAAAAUCAGUUAUUAUGGAUUAAGGUAAUUAAUUAUCGAGUAAUGAAAUACAUAAUCAAAUCAAUUGAUUUUGUUAGAAACUAAAAGAAAGUGGGAUAAGCUGAAAACUGAUUGCCCUUUUUUAGAAUUAAGGAAUCAGCCUUUUACAUGUUAGAUAAUAUGAACACCCCAUAUAUAAUAAGAAAAAUUAUGUACGAUUAUUUAUUAUCAUAAAUGGUUAGUUUAAAUUUAAAGUAAUCUAAUAUGUGUGUUGAACUUCAACUAUUACAUAAAGUAUAAGCUAAAUAUGUAUAAAUAUUCUAGAAACCAUUUCUAACUGAUGAUAGGCUAAUUUGAAAUUAAGAUUAAUAUAUAAAAACUAGAUAGUAGGGUUAUAGUCCUCAAACUACACCUAAUUUAAUAAAAUCUAUAGUUUUUAUAGCCUUAAACAUUUAUAGAUUUUGUUAAUUUGGUCCUUACUCUUUAAAAUUACAUAAAAAUUGCAAAAAUAUUUUAGAAAUACAAUUUUUUCGUAUUUUUAAUAACAUUUAUAGUUUUUUUUUUGGUUUGGUAACUUAUCAACUCGACUCUUAAUUGUAACCAACUUUUCUGAUUUUUUCGUACCCUUAACCUAAGUCCCGUUACAACUUUCUAAAGACCUCUUGAUUGGUGUAUCAUCUCGAUUUGUUCUUAUAGUGGUGGGGAUUUGGUUUUCAAGCAAGCCUAUGCUAAUCACAUUUUUCGUUCAACUAUUGAGCACACAGUACUUGAACCUUAAACACUUUGAGUGCUUUGAGUGAAUCUUAGUUAGGGUAUUGAUUAUUGUUGAGUUUGAAUUUUAGGUAAUUAUUGAGAUGGAGGAGAUGCCUAUUUUUUUGUGCUUUACAAAUUUCUGCUUAGAUUGCUUUUAUUCUUUAGUUUCAUGCUAGUUUCAAUUUCCAGUGCAUGAUUAUCUAUAGAUUAUUCAUAAGGCAUUGUCGGUGAAAACAAUAAAUUGAGGGAGAUUAACUUGAAAUAAAUUGAGGGAUAUUAACUUGAAUAAAGGUUGAGAAUUUUGCUUAAGGACAAACAAAUGCUUAAGUGUGGGGAUAUUUGAUAAGUGCUAAAAUUGAUAUGUUUUAACAUCAUUCUUAAUGUGUUUUUGGUUGAUUAUUCGAUGUUAAUGAUGCUCCUAAUCCUUACAAUUCGUGUUUUUAUGCUUAAUAGAACAUUUGGGAGGAAAAUGAGCUAAAAAUGAACGAAAACCUGAAAAUGGGGGCAAACUAUAGGACAUGGGCUGACCUAUUCCUCAUGACCGUAUGACUCACACGAUCAUGUGGUAGGUUGUGUCGAUUUCGUAGAUUUGCACUCUGAACUGUAAAAAAAGAAAAUUUUAGAUUUUUUGAGCAUUUUAAUACGUAUAUAUGAAAAAAAUAAGAAGAUAGGAGAGAACCUUCCUAGAAUAUUUAAGAAAACAACUCCAAAGACACUAUUGAAGUCGACUCUGAAGCAAAUUUUCCUCAAGAUUGAAGAUUCCCAGUUGGUUUCUUAAGAGAUUAUCAUGAGUUUCUUUAUUUCUUCUGGUUAUACUGCCCUUUGGAUGUUUUUAUUUUUAAGCAUGAACUAAUUUUCUAAAUACCGAAUUAGAGAGAUGAACCCUAUGAUAGAUUGUGACACCCCAAACCCAACCGGAUAGACCCGCCCGAAUUCAAAGCAUUUCAUUAGCCACCUAAGUGACUCUCCAGCUAACGACCACCCAAGACACACCUCGACCUUAUAACACCUCAAUCUUAUCUAAUUACUAGUUAUUUAUUAAUGUAGAAGUAAAUUAAUAUGAGCCAAUUUUAAACUUUUUCUAGGUAAUUUAACCUAAAGGCAAUUUUGUCAUUUUACCACCUAAUGUAAAACUAACCCGAUUUUAGAUCUAAGUGUUUACUAACCUUCUUUUAGUCAAAUUAUACAAGCCUAAAAUUUUCAGCUUAAUUUGAGUCCGUUUACUAUGUCUAAUUCAAGUUUUAUUAAUAAGGACUCAAUUGUAACUUAAACAAAUUAAAAUACCAAUUUAAAGAGACAAAAAUUCAAAACUCCAAAACCCACACGGGCAUGUGGGUAAGUGACAAGGGCUUGUGGGAUUGAAAAAUAUGAAAUAAAUUAAUCCACUCAAUUUUCCAACAACCAUGCUAUACUACCAAACCAAAAAAACACUUGAAGUUUUGAAUAGGGGCGAAUCUAAAAAAAAUUAGAAGAAUUAGAAUUAAAUUAUAAAAUUUUGAGAAGUUAAAAUAUAAUUUUAUCAUGUAUUAAUUUAUUGUUUUUUAAAGGGUCCUAAUAUAAUUUUUUUCCCAUUUUGGUUGGGCCAAUACCCCUGCCUGCCUCUUUAAAUUUGCUCCAACACUAAACCCAAUAUUCGAUUUGGAUUAACAACAACAUAUAGGUUAGUAUUUGUGGGAGUUUGACGAAUAAAAAUUCCUUUUUUAGAUGUUUAAAUUAUAAAUUUUUGAAAGAUUAAAAUAAAUUUGUAUUUUUUUAUUAACAAAAUAUAAAAGAAAAAAAAAUAUGUUUAGACAAGCCAAGAGAACUUUGGGAUCAUACAGGUGAUUUUGAGAUGUUAAUGGUUAUUUUGGUGGACAGCGUAAAAAAGAAACAAAUGAUUCAUUAUAUAUAAUAUAAUUAUGAAUUUCAAGCCAUAUAUUGUAUGUUUCAUCCAUAAAAAUUUCAUGGGAGGUCCAAAGGUAAUUAAAUGACUUGUAGGCUUGCUGAAUUUCUUUGAAAGGCCCAAAGGCAAUUUAACAUUCACAAAAUAAUCUCUAAAUACUGUAAAGACAAAUCAAAUCCACAGUAGCAUUAGAGUUGAUUAAGCUAAGCAUUGGCAAAUAUUACUUUGAUUUUGCAUGCAAAAUUGGCAAAACCCCCUCUUACAUUAGAAAAACAACAUAAUCCAUGAAACAUUGAUGGCUCAAUACAAAUUUCAUCGAGAAAAAAGUCUCUUUGUUUUGGAGAACAUGAUAGUAAAGAUGUGGAGUUUCGUUCUUCUAAUUGGCCUCCUUUAGUUUUCCUUGAUCAACAACAAUUAGCCAAAAACACAGUUAGAUUAGAUUAUGAAUGAUACUUUCAACUAUGACAAUAUUAAAUACAAAACACUCUAAAUAAAUGGAAAGUAGCAAAUUAAGACCAUUGUGUUAUACUUGUCUCUGAAUUGAAAGAUUUAGAAGAAAAUAAAGAGAAAGAGUUAGAAAAUACUUGAAAACAGAUAAAACUUAUAUGUCAUUUAAAAUAAAAAAAAUUUCUAUUUAAGCCAUUUAAAAUUUUUAAGAUUUUUUAAAUUUUAAAAUGAUAAAGGUAAAACUAUAUUUUGGUACCCAAAAAUGAUAAAACUUUGAUUUAAUUCUUUAGAAAUUAUAAAAAUAUAGGCUAUUAAAAUGGUGAAAUUAUAUUUUUACUAUAUUAAAAAUUACAAUUUAAUUUCACUUGCUAAAAGGAUUUACUGGCUUCGCCCCUAAUAAAAUCUUUGGCAAAAGAUUAAAAUAAAAUUAUACCGUGAAUGGAAAAAGAAACUUAAGAAAACCCAAUCUCACAAAGAAAAUAACUUGUCCAAAAGCUACCAUAAACCGUAAUUCAUGCGAAGGCUUGUUGCUCAUUUUAUUGGUUUCCAUUUUGAUUUUGCAAAAGAAGUUUGAAUUUUGAAGAGAGCAAAAGAAAAAAAUAGUUUAUUAAUUUUUUACGAAUACCGACAUAUUAUAUACAUGAUUAAAAUUCCAGAAUAGAUUAAAAAUGUUGAAUUAAAGAUAAAAUUAAGUAUGAAUUAAGAACCACAAGUGUACUCAUUACUCACCAUCUCUGUUAAAAAUGUUGUUUAGCAACCUGUGUUUGAUUUUCUUCAGCUCAACCACAACAUCUUUCAUAUCUUUUCUUUCUUCUGGUAACUCAGCUGAACAAUUCAAAGCCAAUUCCAUGAUAGAUGAAAUACAAUUUGCUUUAACAACAAUGUACUCAUCCUCUCUUCUUAGUAAAUCAACAUCUGCAAUUUCUAUUGCUCCUUUAGGCAAUGAACUUUCCAUCCAAUGCCUUACAGUCUCUUCUUCAACAAAAACAUUAUCAGUUGGCUUUUUCUUUGUGAAAGUUUCUAUAAGGACGAUCCCAUAACUAUAGACGUCAGAUUUUAUAGAAACAAUUCCUGCUGAUCCAAAUUCUGCAUUUCAAGUAUCAUUAGAACAUCAUUCACCCUCAAUUAUUUCUAAAAUGCUUAUUCAAAUAUAUAUCCGCAUACACAAGAAACAAAAAUAUAAAAUGCAAAUUAGGAAAAUAAUCGUACAAAAACAAAAAAGAAUUCACCUGGUGCCAUAUACCCGAUAGUUGCAAGAGUCAUGGUUUGCUUCAUUACUUCACCUUCUCCCAACAAUUUGGCAACGCCAAAAUCUCCAACAUGUGCAACCAUGUCUUCAUCUAGUAAAAUAUUGCUUGGUUUUAUGUCACAAUGAAUUAUAGGUGUUGGAUGUCCAUUGUGGAGGUGUUCUAUAGCUACCGCAACAUCUAUCAUUAUGUCGACCCUUUGUAUGAUAUCAAGGAAACAAUUUUCAGAAUGUAACCAUUUCUCAAGGUUUCCAUUAGACAUGUAAUCAAGCACCAAGGCUUUGAAGUCAACACUUGAGCAGCAAGUAAUGACCUUCACAAUAUUACGAUGAACUAUAUUAAGCAUAACAUCACAUUCAAUGUCAAAACUCCUAAAUGCUCCCUCUGUUUGCAAAUUGAAAACUUUUAUUGCAACUUCCAUUCCAUCUGAAAGCCUCCCUUUAUAUACAUAUCCAAAACUCCCUGAACCAAGCAUAUUGCUUUCCUCAAAUCCAUUAGUUGCUCGUGAAAGUUCAGCAUGUGAAAUUCUUCUCGGUGUCUUCAAAGACAACAAAUCAUCUUUAACUGGUAGAGCUGUACUCCUUUGGCAUCUUCUAUACAUAAUAGUUAAGACUAUUAGUACUAGGACAAUACCAAUUGUUGGUAAACCAUACCUAAAAGCAUGUAAUAUAAUCAUUUGGGAGUUUUUGUGGAUGUCAUUUUUGCAAGGUGGGACUAGCAAUCUAGGUGGACCACAAAAUGCACAAUUAUUCAUGAAUGAUGUGCUAGAAAAGUUUGAAAAACAUCUUUUGCUGGGAAUUUCCCCUUCAAGUCUAUUGAAAGACACAUUAAAAUACUUUAGAUAUAAAAGCUUUUCCAAAGAUUUGGGAAUGACUCCAGAGAGAUUGUUAUUGCAUAAAUCCAAGAAUUCCAAACUAAUCAACCCAUCAAAUGAUUCAGGGAUAUGACCAUGUAGUAUAUUAUUUGAUAAAUCUAAUGAAACCAAAGUUUGAAGACCCCCAAAUGUGGAUAAGAUAUCGCCCAUGAGAAGAUUCCUUGAUAAAUUUAGUCUCAGUAGACUCCUAAAGUUUCCAACAUCAAUAGCAUGUGAAUUGUGAAGAUGGUUUGAUGAUAAAUCUAUUUCUAAGAUAUCUUUAAGAUUCCACAAAGUUGAGGGUAUUGUAGAACUCAAUUUGUUGGAAUCUAACCAAAGAUAUCUCAAAGCAGAAAUAUUACCCAAACAAGAGGGUAUGGGUCCAUGCAGCUUAUUCAACCCUAAAUACAUCUUGUAUAGUCUCUCCAAACCACAGAGGCUUUCUGGGAUAGGCCCUUCUAAUUUAUUAGAGGAAAGAUCUAGACCUUGCAGAUUCCGCAGUCCUCCUAUUGAUGCUGGAAUGAAUCCACUUAAUUUAUUAUGGUCAAGUUCUAAAACCAAUAAGUUGGUUAAGUUACCUAUUUCCAUAGGAAUAAUGCCUUGAAGCUCACAAUUAUAGGCAUGAAAGGAUUGAAGGGAUUUUGAAAGGUUCCCAAUAUAAGUAGGAAGAACGCCACUCAAUGGAUUUCCUGAAACACCUAUUUUUCUCAAAUUCCUACAAUUCGUCAAAGAAGAAAGAAAGCUCCACUCAUGAUCAGUAGCAGAUCCUGUGAUCAAAUUAUUGUCAGUGAUUUUGAGCACUUCAAGGUGUUUUAAGCUGCCAAGCAUUUUAGGGAUUGGGCCAGAGAAUGAGUUAUCUUCCAAGUCUAGUUUCUUAAGCAUGGAAGCAUUGGAGAUAGAGUAAGGAAUGUUUCCGCUAAGUUUAUUUCCCCACAGUAAAAGAAUCUGAAGCUUUGGAGCAUUGGUAAUGGGUGGUAAAUUACCUGUAAAAUAGCAUCUUUUAGAAAACAUAUUCAUUGAAUACCAAAUUCACAAAAUAUAUAAUACAUUAAAAUUAAAACUUUAAAACUUUAAAUCAAUUAAGAAUAAAAUUUUGGCAUGGAAAAUUGUGAUGAAAUCAAUUAGAAAGUUGAGACAUAAUAAGAAGUUUUGAGUAGUAAUUACUCAUGAUUUCCAUAGACAAAACAUAUAAUACACUGAUAAUUUUUUUAAAAAUAUUGUAAAACCUGAAAUAAAAUAAAAAAUAAAAGUUUGGCAUGAGAAUGUGGCAUCUAAUCAUUCUUAAAAAUAAGACUAACAUUGAAUAAUAAUUAGUUAUGAUUUGAGAAACAAAAAUGUUAAAGAUGUAAACUGGUAUGAUUUUUAUCUAUUGGGUUAAUUAUUUAUUUUUAUUAAAUUAUAUAUAGUGUAAAAUUUAAAGAUUAUUAUUUGCUCAAAAUUUUUGUAUUUUUCGUAUAUUUGAAAUUUAAUCUUUAUAUUUUUUAUUUUCUGUGAUUUAGUCUCUCUACUUUUUGAAUUGAAAAUUUUAAGUUUAUUUAUUAACACUGUUAAAAAGUUUUUGUGUUAGUAUGGCAUUUUGAAAAAUAAAAUAAACUUGAUAUCUAUGUUUUUAAUUAUUCCAAAUACUGUUUUACUAUUCCAAGAUAAAUUAUUUGUGUCUAGACCAAUAUCUUAAGAACUAUUGUUGCAUGUUUAAUUAUUCUAAAGAAUUGUUGAUUGAGUCUUAGUUGAAGUGCACUAUUCUCCUAUUUAUGAAUUGGGGAGUUGAUAAAGUACUAAAUUUUGAUAUAUUUUAAAAAAUUAAAAAUUUAUUAAAAUAUUUUUAUAAAAAUUAAUUGUACCAAAAUAUACAAUUUUAAUAUCAAAUUUUUAAUUUUUUUAAAAAUAUUAGCGAAUAUAUACUUUAUUUCAAGUUACACAAUUUUUACUAGUUUUUAACUUUUUUUUUAAAUUUUUAUCGUCUUUUAUAAUUUCAUAUAUUUUUUUAUAAUUUUUUACAAUAUUUACAAUUUCUAACAAUUUUUAAUAAUUUUAUUAUUUAUUAUAAAUUUAAAAAUUAACAAAUUUUUAUUUUUUUAAAACAAUUAUAUAUUUAUAAUGUAGUUAUUUUUUUAUAAUUUUUUUUGAAAUUUAAAGAUUUUUUUGGUUUUUUCUAGAUGAUGAUGCCAUCAUGAUGUCAUCAUAUGCCACAUGGCAAUUUAUAAUUAGUUGACUAUCUCAAUCUAUUUUUUUAACGUCCAAUGGACUAAAACAAGAACACCUGAUAAUGUUAGAGACUACACUAGGAAUGUUUGAUAAUAUUAGGUACUAAAGUGGGCAAAAAAAAUUAAGGACUAUAUUAAAAAUAUAUCUAUAAUAUAUAUAAAUGCAUGGAUUUUGAGAAACUUUUGAAAUGACAAAUAUAUAGUCUUUGUUUUUUUUUACUAUAUUAUUGAAUUUUUUAUUUUAAAUAUUUUUUUAUUACUUUUAAGAUUUAUCAUAUGUAUGGAUAAAAAUUUUGGUUUUACUAAAAUAUUUGGUUAAAUAAAUUCACUUUAUAAAAAAAUUUAGCAUCCUUAUAAAUAACAAUUUUGAUUCCAUUAAAAAAAUUAUUUAAAAAUAUAUAAUAAAAAUUUAAAAUUUAUAUUGAAUCACUUUAUACUUAAAUUAUUAUUAGAAACUUUAUCAUACACAUAUGUGUAUGAGAACCACGUUUUCAGAACUUAAAUUUGUGUUCUAAAAUAACUUAUGAUAAAUAAUUAAAUGUAUAAUUUGAAAUUAUAUUGAAAUAAAAAUAGAUUAAAUUGUAAGUAAAACAUAUAUAAUUUAAACAUAUGAAUACAUCAAAUUAAAAAUACUAAAUGAAUACAUUUAUUUAUGAUGAUGUUGUUGUCAAUUCAUAAGUUGGUGUCGAGUUAAUUUGUGACAUCAUAAUUUUAAGUGAUAAAUUUAAGGUUUUAUGUAUUGAUGUCGAUUCAAAUAUCACCAUAAUUUUUUUAAAUAAAAAACUAAAGCACCCUCAAAUAAUAUAACUUAUAUUAAAUAUGAAAGGGUAUUUUUGUAAUUUCUCUAACGAGUUGGUGCCCGGUUGACUCAUGACACCAACUCAAUCAAAAGCUUCAAUAAUAAUAUAGAUAUUCACGUUUAAAAAAAGUACUUUAGUUCGAAAUAAUUAUGUAACAAGUAAUUUUAUAAUUGAUGAAUAAUUUUAUAAAAAUAUAUUUAUAUGAUCUAAUAUAUUAUAUUUAUAUUAAUUAUAUAUCAUCUACAAACUUUGAAGAUCAAUUUAUUAAGUAUCAGGAAAAGAAAAAAUGAAAUUGAAUUAACACUAAAUCAAUUUUUAGAUUUUGUACAGAUGAUUUAAUGAUGAUAAAAACAUUAUUAGCACUAUUUUUGAAUUAACAAAAAAUUAGUGAUAUAUUUUAAUUAUAUUUUUUAUUUUUUAUUUUUAAUAAUAUUUUUUUAAUUAUAUGAAGUAAAAUUAUAUUGUAUACUAAAUAUGGUACAUAUACUUUAAUUAAAACUUGAAAAAGUAUUAUAUAAAUUAAUAUAUUUUAAUUAUAUUCAACCAUUUGAAUAACAAAAUUAAAAAAAAACUAAUUAGAAUUAUUUACUUUUUAAAGUUUAAUGGAAAAUAAAAAAUAAAAAAUAAAUCAAUUCAUAUAAAUCUUAUUGUUUAUUAUCAGAUUAAAAUGAUAAAAGUAUAUGACAUACAUAGAAGAAACAAAUUCAACACCAUGUUUUUGGAGUUUGGAAAAAAUUAAAGUGAAAAACCUACCUUCUAAACUGUUGUUAAAUAGAUCUAUUUCUUCGAGCGUAGUUGAAUUAAAAAUACUUGAUGGAAUCUGACCUGCACACAUAGUCGAAAAUUGAAGUGAAAUCAAACUCUUUUGUGAAAAAAAUAUUACCAGAUAAUUCAUUCCAACCCAGGUAAAGCCCUUCAAGCUUGGGAAGAUGUUGACACAUAUCAUUAGGCAAACUACCUGAUAGGCUAUUGUUGGAGAGAUUAAUGGUCUUCAAAGAAGAAAUGUUGAAGAUCGAAGUUGGAAUCUGACCUAUAAGGCCUUUAAUUGCUCUAAUACUAAGCCUUUCCAAACUAAGAAGAUUACCAAUUUCCUUAGGAAUUAGACCUGCAGACAGUCGAAAAUUCAAUGUUUUUCAGCAUAUGUUUUUCAUCAAAUGAAAUAAAAAGUUCUUCCUUUUGUUAUCUAUUACAAAUCAAACUCUUUUAUAAAAAAAAUACUUUAAAUUCAAGAAAUCAAGGAAAUUGAUUACCUUCUAGAUUAUUAAACCCCAAAUAUAAUUCUUGGAGUCGUGUUAGAUUUCCAAUACUUCUUGGAAUGAUCCCCAUAAAUUGAUUAUAGGACAACGACAAAAUAUUAAGGUUGUUGCAUUUGCCCAUGCCAAAUGGAAUGUUACUAGAAAACUCAUUGCUAUCCAAGUAAAGCCCUUCAAGCUUGGGAAGAUGUUGACACAUAUCAUUAGGCAAACUACCUGAUAGGUUAUUGUUGGAGAGAUCAAUGGUCUUCAAAGAAGAAAUGUUGAAGAUCGAAGUUGGAAUCUGACCUGUAAAGCCUUUAAUUGCUUUAAUAUUAAGCAUUUCCAAACUAAGAAGUUUAAAUCAAUUAAGAAUAAAAUUUUGGCAUGGAAAAAUGUGAUGAAAUCAAUUAAAAAGUUGAGACAUAAUAAGAAGUUUUGAGUCGUAAUUAGUCCUUCUGAUUUGUAUAGACAAAACAUAUAAUACACUAAUAAUAAUUAGUUUGGCAUGAGAAUGUGGCAUCUAAUCAAUCUUAAAAAUGAGAUGACACUGAAUAAUAAUUAGUUAUGAUUUGGGAAACAAAAAUGUUAAAGCCAUUGCUUUUAAUGUAAACUAGUAUGAUUUUUAUCUAUUGGGUUAAUUAUUUAUUUUUAUGAAAUUAUAGUGUAAAAUUUAAAGAUUAUUUUUAUCUAUUACAAAUCAAACUCUUUUAUGAAAAAAAUAUUUUAAAUUAAAGAAACAAAGAAAAUUCAAUAUCUUCUAAGUUAUUCCACUCCAAAUAUAAUCUUCAGUGAAGAAAUCUUGAAGAUGGAAGAUGGAACCUUACCAGAUAAUUGAUUGAAUCCCAAGCUCAAGGACUCUAGAUUAGACAUGUUAACAAGUGUUUCAGGGAUUGUGCCUAUAAAGUUAUUAUUUUUCAUUUUCAGCCUUCGAACUCCCUGUAAGUUCCCAAGCCAUGAUGGAAUUUCCCCAUUAAGACUGUUGUAUUUUAAUCGAAGGAUCCUCAAACGAUGCAAUUGGCCCAAUUCUUUAGGGAGAUGGCCAUAGAAAUGGUUUCUACUCAAGUCGAGAGAGAGUAGAAAUGAAAGAUUUCCAAGGUGUGGAGGGAUACUACCCCUAAGAUUCAUGCUUUUAAGUUUGGAAACAAAUUCAACACAAUGUUUUUGGAGUUUGGAAAAAAUUAAAGUGAAAAACAUACCUUCUAAUUUGUUGUCAGAUAGUCCUAUUAUUUCGAGCAUAGUUGAAUUAAAAAUACUUGAUGGAAUCUGACCUGCACAUAUAGUUGAAAAUUGAAGUGAAAAACAUACCUUCUAAACUGUUCAACUAAAAAAACUUUAAGCAUAUUUGUUUUUCCAUCAAAUUAACUAUUUUGCCUUGAAUGAAAUAAAAUGCUCUUACUUUUGUUAUUUAUUACUAAUCAAACUCUUUUCUAAAAAAAAACUUUAAAUUAAGAAACUAAGAAAAUUCGGUACCUUCUAGGUUAUUAAACCCUAAAUAUAACUUCUGGAGUCGUGUUAGAUUUCCAAUACUUCUUGGAAUGAUACCCAUAAAUUGAUUAUAGGACAACGACAAAUUUUUAAGGUUGUUGCAUUUGCCCAUGCCAAAUGGAAUGUUACCAGAUAAUUCAUUCCAACUCAGGUAAAGCCCUUCAAGCUUGGGAAGAUGUUGACACAUAUCAUUAGGCAAACUACCUAGGUUAUUGUUGGAGAGAUCAAUGGUCUUCAAAGAAGAAAUGUUGAAGAUCGAAGUUGGAAUCUGACCUGUAAGGCCUUUAAUUGCUUUAAUAUUAAGCAAUACCAAAUCAAGAAUAUUACCGAUUUCCAAACCAAGAAUUUAUAGAAGAAACAAAUUUAACACAAUGUUUUUUGAGUUUGGAAAAUGUUAAAGUGAAAAACAUACCUUCUAAUUUGUUGUCAGAUAGUCCUAUUAUUUCGAGCAUAGUUGAAUUAAAAAUACUUGAUGGAAUCUGACCUGCACAUAUAGUUGAAAAUUGAAGUGAAAAACAUACCUUCUAAACUGUUCAACUAAAAAAACUUUAAGCAUAUUUGUUUUUCCAUCAAAUUAACUAUUUUGCCUUGAAUGAAAUAAAAUGCUCUUACUUUUGUUAUUUAUUACUAAUCAAACUCUUUUCUAAAAAAAAACUUUAAAUUAAGAAACUAAGAAAAUUCGGUACCUUCUAGGUUAUUCAACCCCAAAUAUAAUUCUUUGAGUUGUGUCAGAUUUCCAAUACUUUUUGGAAUGAUCCCCAUCAAUUGAUUAUAGGACAAUGACAAAAUUUUAAGGUUGCUGCAUUUGCCCAUGCCAAAUGGAAUGUUACCAGAUAAUUCAUUCCGACUCAAGUAAAGCCCUUCAAGCUUGGGAAGAUGUUGACACAUAUCAUUAGGCAAACUACCUGGUAGGCUAUUGCUGGAGAGUUUAAUAAUCUUCAGAGAAGAAAUAUUGAAGAUGGAAGAUGGAACCUGACCAAAUAAUUGAUUGAAUCCCAAGUUCAAGAUCUCUAGAUUAGACAUGUUAACAAGUGUUUCAGGGAUUGUGCCUGUAAAGUUAUUAUUCUUCAUUUCCAGCCUUCGAACUCUCUGUAAGUUCCCAAGCCAUGAUGGAAUUUCCCCAUUCAGACGGUUGUAGCUUAAUUGAAGGAUCCUCAAACGAUGCAAUUGGCCAAAUUCUUUAGGGAGAUGGCCAUAGAAAUGGUUGCUACUCAAGUCGAGAGAGAGUAGAAAUGAAAGAUUUCCAAGGUGUGGAGGGAUAGUACCCCUAAGAUUCAUGCUUGUAAGAUUCAAAGCUAUAACUCUUUUAUGGAGGAUGCCACAAGAAACACCAAUCCAAUUGCAAACAGAGGUUGAGGCCGUCCAAUUGUUUGCCAAGACAUUUUGAGGACCGGCAAUGCGAUCCUUAAACUCGAGAAGUGCAAACUGAUCGGAGUUGAGAUUCCUGACUGUCAUACCCCAGCAAAGUCCGGAACAUGGUAUGAAUAAAGCUAAAAGAAGAUGAAAGCAAGUGUUGUAGUUCAUGAUAGCAAGACGGAAUAAGCCAAGAAAAUAAAAAAAAGUAGGACAAGGGAAGUUGAGUUGAUAAAAUAGUUUGGAUGAUGAAGAAAAGCCCAGAGAGCAUGCUUUAAUAUGUUUUGAAGAAAUUUCAAAAUAAAUUUCAAAAUAAAUUUCAAAAUAAAAAUUUAAAAAGGAAAGCAAAGUUUUGAAGAAAUUUCAAAAUAAAUUUCAAGUCUUCUUCUUUAAAAAAUACGUACAAAGAGCGAAUUUUCAAAAUUUUUCCUAAAUUUUCUUCACAUUACUCCACAUAAUCCAUUAAAAAAACUUAAAAAAUAUAUUUUAUUAAUUACUAUACAUUCUUUUAUUUUCAGAAUAAUAAAUUGUUUAAAAUUUGCUAUUAGUCCCUAUAAUUUAAAAGUUAAAAAAAAUUCAAUCCUCCUACUUUUCUAAUUUAAAAAUUUUAGUUCAAUCAAUUUUAAUUUUAAAAUCUCUGUAUAAAAGGUGUUUUUUUUGUGACCGAUCACACUUAACCAAUAUUUAAAAAUUAAUAAAAAAUAUUUUUUUUUGAAAUUUAAAGUGAUCUAAAAACAUAUUUUUAAGUGCUUUGGACCGUCUAUUGUUGAUUUCCUUAUUAUAUUAAGUGUUUGCAAUCACUCCUAAUAUAUUGUGCUUGAGUUGUGACAAAGCCGAUCAUCAAAUUGCCAUAAUGAUCUAUUGAUGCUGAAAUUGAAGUUUUUGUUAUAUUGAUAGAGCUUGUCCUUCAACGCGUACAACGUGUUUGUUAUUUUUCUCCCUUCAAAUUGUAUGAUCUUAUUCAUUAAAUGAAUUAAUGAAUUUCCCUUUUAAAAAGAUAUAUUUUUAAAAAUUAAAUACUUUAUAAAAUAUUUAAAAAUUUGUAAGCCUUAAAACAAUCAACAAAAUAUUUUUGAAAUUUUAUAAAUAUAUUUUAAAACUAUAGUAACGCUACAAAAUAUAUAUAUUUACUAAUUAUAUGCACCUUUUUUAUUUUUAUUUCCUAACAUAUCAUUAUUUUCAACACUAUCGUAAUCCUGUUUUGAUAAUUCCCUUUCCAUACAUCCUUUUUCUACAUAGAAUUUCAAAAGAAAAUGUGAAUUAAUGUAAACGUGAGAAGACUUAAUUACAUUUAUUAGUUUAUCAAUCAAAACUUAAUUAGAAUCCAUCAAUAUUUCACACAUCAAAAACCCAAACAUAAAAUUCACUUUUAAAUUAUUUGAAGAUACAUUUGUAUUAUAGGAAAUCGAUUAAAUUAGUCUUUUAUUAUUAAAUGUAUUAUUUUAAUCUUUGUAUUAGGUAUGAAUGAUAUCUCCUAAAUUGAAGCCAGAGCUAUUCUUGAAAGACUGAAAUUAGGAUUCAGAUGUGUUGAGAUGGAAAGUGACAACACAAUGUUGAUUGAAACUAUUUGUAACAGGUUGACUACAAUAAGUAGUGCUGCCGAAGUAAGACAGAUUCACGAUUGGUGUUCCAAAAAUUGGGAAGUCAAAUUUAGACAUAUUCAGCGGAAUGCCAAUAAAGUUGUUGAUUGCAUAGCUAAGGCAAAUGGAGGCGUAAUUGAGCAGCUGGUUAUCUUGGAAGAUCCUCUGCAUUAUGUGAGAUGGUAGCUUGAAGAAGAUAUUAGACAGUCACUAGUGACUGAUGAUAAUUUUCAUUUGGACUGAUGAGCGCUUAAUUUUCUAAGCUUAUGUUCAACAAAAAAAAUUUUAACUACGUUUAAAUUGUAAUAGAGUUAACAUUUAGUGUUUAAAAAAUAUCUUAAAAAUUAUUAUUUUUUCCAAUUGCAGUUCAAUUCCACAAAUAUCGACGAUGAAUCCGGACAUAAAAAUUAUAGAAAAAAAACACAUCUAUUAUCAAACCAACAAUCCAUGUCUAAACUUAAAUUAACAAAAUUUGCCACGCAACGCCCAGUACACUAUUAUAUAUAUACUAGAUUUAUUCUAGAUGCACAUGUUUUAUUAUAUUUAAAAUUUAAAAUAUAUGGUUGACUAAGUGUUAGUUGAGUUAGUAUUGCUAUUAUUGUCAGUGUAAGGAAAUGUGAGUUUAAUUGCGCUCAAAUGUGUUUUAUCCUCCAAUUCAAGGGUUAGGAAAAGGUUAUUGAUAAUUAAGUUAUACCAACUUUUAUGAUAUUAAAAAAAGGAUUUAUAAAUAAUAUAAGGAAAAGAAAGAAAGAGAAACAUAUUCAUAUUGAUGGGCUCUUUCAAUAUUAGACUUUUUUUUCUAUCACAAGUAAAAAUAUCAAAGGUGAUAAUAAUUAAAUUAUAAAAUUUAAAUUGAGAAAAUAGGGGAUUGAGUUUAUAAGUUUUAAAGUAUAAAGAAUGAAUAUAUAACUAACAACAUAUUUUAACCACAUAAUAAAAGUAGUUAUGGUAAAAUAAUGACCUGAAUAAUUUUAAACGUCUCAUCCUUGCAAAAAUGAAAUAAUAGAAAAGAAAUAAGUGUUGGGUGUAGUGGCAAUGUACAUCAUACUUCUAAGGGGAGAUUAGGGUUUUAGACAAGGGAAGAAUUUUAAACUUGCUCUUUUCUCUAGAACUCAACGCAAACCUCAAAUUUAUCUUUUUAAAAGAAUUUAAAAAUAUGUAUAUAAAAGGUGAUUUUUUUACCGAUCACACUUAACAAAAUUUUAAAAAAAAAUGAAAUUUAAAGUGAUCUAAAAACAUAUUUUUAAGUGCUUUAGACCAUCCUGUGCUGAUUUCUUUAGUAAUUUGAUUUGUUCAAUAUAGAUUUUGGUAACUUAAAACAAAAUUAAUAAAAAAUUAUUUUUUUAGAUAUCUUUUUAAUGUUUAAUAAUAAGUUAAUUUAUAAAAUAUACUUUCAUUGGACACAGGGCCUCCAAGGCGGUGAACCACUAAUCAAAUUAAUUUUGAGAUACUUAAAUUUGUUUUCAUCAAUUAAGAAAUUAAAAAAAUUGUUGAGACCUCAUGAUUAUGUUUUAUAAUUUCAGGCUUAUCAACUAUUUUGAAAAACAACAAAACGUCUUACACCAAAAACUAAAAAAUAAAAACGUCGACAUUAAAUUUGUUGGCAUGCAAUCAAUUUUAAGAUGGUUUUUGGAGUUAUAUAUCACCUUAGCAUUGACUUACUUUUCUACAGUUUGUCUUCUCCAACAAGUUAAAUAUUUCAAUUUUAACAACAUUGACAGGUCUUUGGGGUAGGGUCGAGCAAAAUUCAAUAAAAACAGAUGAUAUAAGUUGAGUUGGCUCGGCCAAGUCGAGUCGAUUUGUUCAAAUUAUUUAAAUUAGUAAAUUUUAGGGUGCAAUUAGAAUUUUUUGUUUUGAGAUGCUAAUUAGAUUAAAAAAUUUCAGUUGCUAAAACAAAAAAAUUGUAUUUAAAAAGGCAUAAAUUAAAUAAUUAAGUUUUUCGAGUUUCCAUUUAAUCAAAGGUUAAAAGGACUAAAUUGAAGCUUUUUAUUUUUAAGAAAGGCUGAAUGACAAAUUGCCCAAAGCCCAUGGCCCUAGCUAUACAACUAACUUUUCUAUGAUUAGUCCUUGGUUUGCUUUGGGUGAAAUCUUCCAACUAGCCUCAUCCUUGGUUUUACUUUCCAACAAUUAGUGUAUCGCGGGUUUUGUUUUCUUUAAAAAAUAUUUGUGGAUAUUAGGAGAUAAUGAAAAUUAUUUUACUAUGAAAUUUUAAUAAAACUGGAAAAUAAGUAAUUUAUUUUAAGAGAUCACAAUUAAACGUUAGAUUUCCCCUUUUUAAAUUAUAAAUUUUUUUUUGACAAUUGCAUAAUAUUUUGAGCGUUGUAGGAAUGCCAUAAUAUAACCUUCCCUACGCAUAAUCGACUCUUGAGCAUGAUGGAUCCUAGACCUUCUCCUCUAUUCUCGUACCACAAAUUGCUUCAAGUGUGGGUUCGAACAAUCACAAAUUAAACGCAAAACCAAAAAUGAUUUAUUACUUUCAAUAGCAAAGUAAUUCUCUCUCAAUAGAAACCAAUAGAAUUGUAAUUCCUAGAAAAUAAAAUUUAUUUUUUGAAAAUAUAUUCUCACUACUUUCUAGCAGAAUAACAAUAUGUGAAACUUAUGUCUUGUGUUAAUAGCUCUACCAGUACUAUCUAUUUAUAGGGAGAGACACGAGAAUCCUGGUUGAAUUAGUAAAACACGAAUAAUAUUUAUUUCAUAGAAAACAAUAUUCCACCCUAAGUAGAUCAAGUUUGUAUGACGCAUGGAUCAAAGCUCAAUCUAGGAGAAAAAAAACAAAGGAAUUUUCUUUGUAAAGAAAAUUUGAGAUUGUACUAUUUUCAAAGUUAUAAAUAAAAUUAUACGCCAAAUUUUCAAGUCAAUUUUCAACUCCAAUUUUGUAUGCACAAAUUUCUAAUACACUUGGUGGGACAUUCUUUGACUUUUAUCUAUUCUCUCAAAAAGUUAAAGUUCAAAGUUACAUUAAACUCAAAGAAGAUAUUCAUUAGUAAACCACCUCACAAGCCUGCUCAAGCUAAUCCUACAACUCGUUCCACUUCAUCAUCAAACACCAAUAUUCUUGCUUAUCCUUAUGGAAUUAAACAGUCUCAUUUUCUGCAUUUUGGGUACACACUUAGUUUUGUUUGAUGCUAAAACAGUCCCCGAGCACUCCAAAACCUAUAAUUGAACAAAUAAUACUAAUUUAAUCUUACAUAACAUGAUCCCAAAUUGAAAUUGUAUCGAGGUUUUAACCCAUAAGUGACUAAACCUUACCUUCAACCGAUGAACAGUAAUUCCCACACAAACUAAGACUCCAAUUGGAGAUUACGAGCCAUUGAAUCCUCCCCUAAUUGGCAUAAACAAAACACUUCAAAAGAAAGUUAACAAAUGGAGACAAAUCACUUAUCUAAAACUUACCGAACGAUCACAGAAAAACGUGGAGUGACACGAGGCAGAGUGGGAAAAGAAAAAUCAAGAGGAUGAAGGGUGAAAGAGAGCAAAAAUUCGGUAGCAAUGAAGAGAAAAACAGCAAGAAAGUGGAGGGAUUUUAGGGAAAGUAAAAAAAAAGAUGAAUAGAAUAUUUGAUAACUACCCAAUCCCUUAUUUCUCUCUAUCAAACUCCCCACUAAAUCCACUACUCGAAUUUUUAGUCCAUCUCAAACUCUCCUGGACGCACGAGCAAAAAAUAAUGACCAUGCCAAAAUUUAAACAAAAGACCUCCUUCACACCAACACUCCACUUAUCCACCAGACCAAUAGGCUCAUUCUUUUAAUUAUUUUCCAACUUUUACUUAAAAGCCUACUGACCAAAGAUAGGGCUUAUUCAUAAAAAUACCAAAUUUUGCCCAAGACCUGGCUUGAACUUGGGACCUCUCAAACACACCCAGAACACAUAACCACUAAAGCAGACAGAAAUUUUGUGUCACACAUUCACAAUACCCAAAAUUAAAAUUUUAGGGCGUUACAAAAACACAUUAAACAAUAUCGCAUAAAACAAUCACAGUCAGAUAACAAUUCAGAAUGUCGAUUUUACAAUUUAACCACCAAUAGUAUCAUAGUAUUCACAGUUGUAAUUUCAGAAUAUCAAAUUUCCACAUCAUUCACAAUAUUCACACAUAUAUAAAUAUAUCAUAAUAGAAUUCUAGAUUUGUAUGCACAUGAUUUAGAAGAUGCCAUACAAUUUUGGGUUUUAACAGAAUAAAUCCUACCCCACAUUACAUACCAUAAUGGGAGUUCCCCUAAACUCCCUUCUCCAACACACUAGGUUGUGGAUAAACCACUAUUGGUUCACAAAUAAUAACUGUCAUUUGGCUGUGGACACAUAGCAAGUCCCCGCAAUUGGAUUCUAGAUUUGGUUGUGGAUUCACAGCAAAAAAAUCCUACAAAUGAAGCCUGCUUUUGCCUGUAGAUUAUACAACAUAUACCCGCAGUUGGAAUCUGUCUUUGGCUGUGGAUGCAGUGUAACACCUCAAACUCGACCUAGACGUUAUGGCUAAAUCUUAAUGAUUUACUUUAACUCGCUAGAAAGCCCACGAAUUUACUUUAAAAUCAUGUGGUUAAACUAGUGUUCACUUUGAUAAAUCGUUUUCCAGUUUUAGAGAAAAUUCUUGUUAAAACUGUUACUUUAUUACAAUAAAACAUUGAAGUAAUUGUAUCAUUUUGUAGUGGAAUCUACUAAGCUAUAAGGUUUUGAAAAUCGUGAUUUAGUUUGAAACAAAUCAUUUUGCAAAUAGAAAUUUAAUACUACUUAAUUUGGAAAAGCACGCUAAAACGAAAGCAAAGUCCAAAAUAAUUUACGGUUUGAAAUUCUAAAAAGCCCAAAUUAGUCAUAAAGUCUAUUUAAACCAAUUUAUCGAAAGUGUAACACCCUAAACCCGGCCUGUAUGUUAUGGCCAAAUCUAGAUGUGUUACGAAAAAAAGUUUAUAAAACGACUUCCUUGUUAUUGGCAAAUCAUCGUAGCCAUUAUUACUUAGUAUAUCUGAUUUGUUUGGAAAACUUAUUGAUAUACUUAUUUGAUUUAAAAUCGUUGCUCACUUACGCCUUUUUAUUAAACCAAAUAUUUUGCAGCGGAGUUUCUUUAAAACAUCAUAUUUUGGAAAAUCAAAUUGUUUCUUGAAAAUCGUUAUUUUAGAAAAGUUGUCAUUUUCAGAAAAAUUAUUUUAUCAGUUGUUAUGCUGAGAAAACAAAAUAAAAUCCAAAACCAAAAAUAGUCCCAAAAAGUCUAGAGAGUCCCAAAAUGACAAUACUCUUAAAACUAGACAAGUUUAAACUAAUUUUAAAAGAAUGAAAUUUUACAGAAAUGUGGACACCACUGAGCUUCCGUCGCACCGACCCACCUAAAUCUGAGGGUUACUUGAACAGAAUAAACAAACAGAGAGUGAGUUUUGAAACUUAGUGUCUAACGCGUAUAUAAACAAAAAUUCAGAAUCAAUCUCAUGCAGAACAGAUACAAGUGUAAACCUUUUAUAAAAUUAGAAUUAUACAGAUACAAAUAUGCAACAUCCUACCCUCAUCCUCUACACACCAACUCCGACCAUUCUAUCACACCACGUGGGGUAUAAAAUACCCACCCAGCCCUACACACCGUAUAGUAUUUAUAUGACACUUUUUGGAAUAAUCGCAGCAGAGUUGCCAGUAUAUAGGCGAGAUAUCACCUCACACAGAACACUUCCUCCUCAUAAUACAAAUCCCGCCCCAUAGCCAGAUACAGACAAAAUAUCAUGUAAAAUAAAUUAACAGAUACUAGAGUUAACAUAUCACGCAUGAGCGUAUAAUAGAUAUUACACAUGCUUAUGCAUAACAAAAUAGAUCAUACAUAUUGUAUUCCAUAAUACUCAUAUAAAUGUUAUUUACGUCAAUCUCAAUCUAAUAGAGUAGCUGAUUUCAUGCUUUAACUCUUAUACCACACAUACAGACCCUAUAGAAGGCCCACAGUUGAUCGAGACAACAUGUAUGUCCCUAGGGAAAAAAUUUGUAAUUUGGGCCCAUAUGCAUGUAUGAGCCCACACACCCAAAAUGGCCUUGCCCAUGUGGCUCACCUACCUAGCACUCAGCCCAUACGGUCCAAAAUGGCCUAGGUCGUGUGUCACACACAGCCGCAUGUUGCACACAGCCUACCACAUAGCGAGUCACAAAACCGUUUGGAGUUGACAAGCCUAAUUUUUGGCUUUCGUCAAUCGUCAUUUUCUUACGUUUUCAUUACACACUUGGUUUGAUUCUGACCCAAAAGCAACCCUAAGUCCACCGAAACCUAAAAAUAGCAUUCCAAUGCCCAAUUUCAGUGAACAUUUACAAAACUUAAACAAAAACUAUCCAAAAACAUAGCCUCACAAUAGCAUCCAAUGCACUCGCACACUUACCGUCAACGAAUAGGAAACACCCAACACUCAAUUCGUUGGCGGAGCACCAAUUAUGAUAAUGCAAAAAUUUUAUGGAUUCUCAACACUAUCGAUCCAAAUGUAAGAUUGAUGCUUUCCAAUUAUGAUAAUGCAAAAAUUUUAUGGGAUGGUUUACAUGAAUUUUUGUUGUUGUCAACGAUCAAUGUAUUCAAUAAUUAAAAGAAAAUAUUAGUCGUUGUUAGAAAACCAAUACUAUGAGUGUUGUAGUUUAUUUCAGUAAAUUAAAGGUUUUGUGGGAUGAACUAGACAAUCAUGAACAAUUGAUUUAUUGCAAGUGUGGACAAUGUUUAUGUAACUUAGGGAAGACGGAUGAACAAUGUCGUGAGCAUGAUCGACUUCAUCAAUUACUUCUUGCUCUCUAUUCUAAUUGUUAUGCUCAAACUAGGUUUACAUUGUUUUACCAAGAUCCUUUGCCUUCCUUAAAUCAGGCAUUCCAACAAAUUACUUAGGAGGAACAUGUACGUGGAAUUACACUGAUUAAGGAAGAGAAGUCUGAUAUUUUAGGCUUUGCUUUGCAUACAGAAGGUCAUAACAAAGGCCGAGCUAAUUGUAUUGAUAAGUCAACCUUGUUGUGCACUCAUUGCUAUCGCAAAAGGCAUGAGAUGGCUACCUAUUUUGAAUUACAUAGCCACUUGGAUUGGCGGCUUAAGAAGUAUGGGAAGCCAGAGAAGAAAAGUGAUGAUCGUGGUGGUAAGACAAGUGCACAUCUUCCACGUAAGUAUUUUAUUUCAAAGGAUCACAAUUAAACAUUAGAUUUCUCAUUUUUAAAUUUUUUUUAUUUUUUUAACAACUACGUAAUUAACGAGUACCAAUUUUGGGUGUUGUAGGGGUUCUAUAACUUUCCCUAUAUGUAAUCGACUCUUGCACCCUCUUUUUUUCUCUAGAAUUCAAUGCAAACCUUAAAUUUAUCUUUUUAAAAGAAUUUUAAAAUCUCUUUAUAAAAGACGAUUUUUUUAGGUGACCAAUCACAGUUAAGAAAAACAAAUCGGUGGCAACUCCUUUCUAAUAAAUGUAAAAAACUUUUUAAACAAAAUAAGGUUGAAAUAAUCUAGUUGUCGUUAUACUUUGAUAAAAUUUUAGAUUUAGUCCUUAUACUUAAAAGGUUAAAAAUUAAGUCUUGUUUUUAUUUAAAAAUCUUAGUCCUAUCGUUAAUAUUGUUUUUUUUUUGUCAAAAUUUGUCAAGUUGACAUAUUAAUUAGGUUUCUCUUAUAUAUCGUGGUAUAUGACUAACACAAAAUAAACAAGUUGACAAAUUCUACAAAAAAUAUCAAAGAUGAUAAUAGUUUAAUUAAAAUUUUUAAAUUAAAAAAGUAAGGGAUUAAAUUUAUAACUUUUAAAGUAUAAUGAAUGAAAUUAUUGAAAUACAAGAACUAACAACAUAUUUUAAAAAUAUUACUAGUAAAUUAUAUAUCUACAACAAGAAUUGUAACCUCUUAUAUUAUAUUCUUGUAUUUAUUUUUGCAUCUUUCAUAAUAUGAUUUAUUAAUUUUAAUAUUUUUAUAGAAUAAUAUGCUUUAAAUAGUUUUUUGUAUCAUUUAUAAAAAUUAUAAUAAACUUACAAAAUAAUUUAAUGAUAUUUAAUUAUUAAUCGAAAAAAAUGAUAUCAUAUAUAUUAUGUAUAUAUUAAGAUUCCAAAUCAUUAAUUAUAUAUCUACGCAUUAUAAUAAAUUCAUCUUUCAAAAUUUUCCUUAUAAUUAAAGCAUAAAUUAUAUUUAUAAUAAUAUAAAUAUAUUCUAUCAUAAAUAUUCUUUCAAAUAUUUUUUAAUGUUUAAUAAUAAGUUAAUUUAUAAAAUAUUCUUUCAGUAAAUUAACGUGAUGAGAUCGUUAGGUGCUUGGAUUUGGUGAAGGGGGAUGAAGAGAAAAGGGAUGGAAGUGAAUAAAAAUGUUGAGAAAUGGAAAGGGUUAGCGAGGGAAGCCGCCAUGAAAGGUGGUUCAAUGGAUAUGAACCUUCAAGCUUUUGUGGAUGAUGUUACUCAAGGUUGUUGCAAGUAAAUUUAAAAAUGUUUUUAAAUUAUUUUUUUGUUAAAAAAACAUUUUUUACUUUUUUAUGUGGCAUGCCACAUUAUCAUACUAUCAUGUGACAAUUUCUGGUGAUUUCUGUCCGCAACAUUAGUCAAAUCAACUGUUAAAUCGUUCAACUCACAGUUUUUGUUAAAUGAAGAGGUUAAUUGAUUUUUUUUUGGAAUCAUUGAGUACUCAAUUGGUGCACUUUUUUCAUAAAGGCUAAAUUAAUUUUUUAAUUUGUUAUUGUUGAAGGCUAUAGCAAUAAAAAAAAUUGAGGUAAAAAAAUAUUAGAGCUAAAUUUGUCAUUAUGCCUAAAAUGUAAAACCAAAUUUUUUUGAAAAUGAAAAAAAAUGGAAAAUCGCAAAUUCCGUCGCAUAUUUUUGCUUAAAAUUAUAGUUUUGGUCACCAAUCUUUUGAAGUAAAUAUAGGUCACCAAUAUUAUCAAUUUGUUACUUUGUAAUAACUCACCUUAAGUUAUACCCCGACGCACGAAAGGAUUAAAUGACAUUGGGAUACCAUCAAACUUGUAUCUUAAAUACACAUUUACCCCUAAUUUUAUCACAUUCUUCUUAAUUGGUAUUUAUGGUUUAGAAAAUUUUACAAAUAUAUUAUUUUUUAAGAAAUUAUAAGAAGAUUACAAAAAUUCCAAAAUAAUAUAAAAAAGCUAAGGAAAACCUAGAAAUUCAAAAAAAAAAACGUGGACAUUGAAUUUGCUGUUUCACAUUAAAUUUUUGGAGAAGUAGAAUUUUCUAACUUAUUUUCCAUCAACUUCACUUCAAUUUUCAAUCACAAUCUAUUGCAUUCAAGAGCACCACAUCUUUUGGGAUGAAACAAACCUCUCAAUUUUAAGAUAAACGGAAUCUAUUGCAUUCAAGAGCACCACGUCUUUUUGGAUGAAACAAAGCUCUCAAUUUUAGGAUAAACGGGUCUUUAGGGUUAUAAAUUGAGGUCCUUUUCCACAAUUGCGGGUGAUUCGUUGAUAAUAACCUCAACAUUUCUGUAUCACAUUUAAUUCAAUUCCACAUUCAAUUUUUAGUUUUUAGAGAGAUGAUUGGGUUACAACAAUGGUUUGAAGUGAAGAUAUUUCAAAACAAGAUGAAUACUCUACCAAUAGUCAUAAUUUAAAAUGCAGGUUAUGUUUCAUUUCAGCUAAGUUAAAUGUUAAGAUUGAGGUUAAACCUUUUAGAGGUUGCUCGCAAAAGGAUCAAACCUUUAUAAAAUUGUUUAAAUGAAGGUCAAACCUCUUAAAAUAGACAAAUAAGGGCCUAACCUUUUAAAAGGUGUUCAAAUAAGGGUUUCUCAAAUUUUGUAUAUCAGGUUAUGUAUUUUACUCUAAACACAUCGACAUUUACCUAUUUUUUCUAUAAAUUGGGUUGAAGUGCAUGAAAAAACCUUAUUUAAGCACUUCUGUAAAGGUUAAACUCUUAUUUGACUAUUUUGAAAGGUUUGAUCCUUAUAUAAGCAACCUCUAAAAGAUUGAGUACUAAUUUGACAAGAUUGAGAAAUACCUAAAUUUGUUUUCAUGAAUCAAGAAAAUAAAAAAGAAAUGUUGAGAAAUAUUUUAGAGAUUCUUAGCUUUGACAAGUUCCCUCCAUCAUCUUCCUGCCUCCAGUCCCACCUCUUCUCUUAUGCUCCUCCCAGCUUCUUGCUUUUUGUGUGUUGAAAUUUCAAAGGAACAAAAUAUCAACCUACAUCAUAAGGCACGAUUGCCAGAACUUUACUUUCUAGCCUGUCGAUCCGAUCCAAUGAAAGAAGAACAAAGAGUCUCAAGAUCUGUCAACUUUAUUUCAUUUUCAUUUUCUUUGUCAUUUUCUAUGUUUCAUGUCGAAUACAAUGAAAGAACAUAGAAAAAUGUUGCCUAUUUAUUUCCCAAUCAUCAUGAAAUUACUUGCCAUAGACUUAGAAUUUUCUCACCAAUUUUCAAGCAAUCUGACAUGAUUUCUCAAUCACAAUUAAUUGAAUUCAAGAUCUUUUUAGAUGACACAAACAUUUCAAUUUUAACACAAACCAAUAUUUAGGUUGUACUUCAGUGCUUGACAAGCACUUUCACAUUUGUGGGAUAAGAACUCUUAACAUUUUAGGAUCACAUUUAAUUCAAUUGCAUUUAAGACCUCACGAUUUUAUUCUAUAAUUUCAGUCUUAUCAGCCUUUUCGGAAACAAUAAAACGUCGACAUUAAAUUUGUUGUUGAUGCAUUCAAUUUUUUGAGGGGUCUUUGGAGUUAUAUGUGACUUUAGCAUUGACUGACUUUUUUAUAAUUAAUCUUUUAUAAUAUAUCAAUUUUAAUAACAUCGACAUGUUUUUUAGUAGGGUCUAGCAAAACCCAAUUAAAACCGAUGAUAUUGGCUUAGUUGACUCGGUCAAGUCCAUUAGAUUGAUAAAAUCAAUUUUAAAAUCAGUUAUAAUGGAUUAAGGUAAUUAAUUAUCGAGUAAUGAAAUACAUAAUCAAAUCAAUUGAUUUUGUUAGAAACUAAAAGAAAAUGAGAUAAGCUGAAAACUGAUUGCCCUUUAUUAAAAUUAACGAAUCCGCCCUUUACGUAUUAGAUAAUACGAACAUCACAUAUAUAAUAAGAAAAAUUACGUAUGAUUAUUUAUUAUCAUAAAAGGUUAGUUUAAAUUUAAAGUAAUCUAAUAUGUUUAUUGAACUUCAACUAUUAAAUAAAGUAUAAGCUAAAUAAGUAUAAAUAUUCUAGAAACCAUUUCUAACUGAUGAUAGGCUAAUUCGAUUAAUUUAUAAAAACUACAUAGUAGGGUUAUAGUCCUCAAACUACACCUAAUUUAAUAAUAUUUAUAGUUUUUUUUUUAGCCUUAAACAUUUAUAGUUUUUUGUUAAUUUGGUCCUUACUCUUUAAAAUUACAUAAAAAUUGCAAAAAAAAUUAAAAUUAAUUUUUUUUCAUAAUUUUAAUAACAUUUAUAGUUUUUUUUUUGUGUGUGGUUUGGUAACUUAUCAACUCGACUCUCACUUGUAACCAACUUUUCUAACCUUUUUCGUACCCUUAACCUAAGUCCCGUUACAACUUUCUAAAGACCUCUUUAUCAGUGUAUCAUGUCGGUUUGUUUUAUAAUGGUGGAGAUUUGUUUUUUGUAGUGGCACGAUUGCCAGAACUUUACUUUCUAGCCUAUCGAUCCGAUCCAAUGAAAGAAGAACAAAGAGUCUUAAGAUCUGUCAACUUUAUUUCAUUUUCAUUUUCUUUGUCAUUUUCUAUGUUUCUUGUCAAAUACAAUGAAAAAAGAACAUAGAAAAAUGUUGCAUAUUUAUUUCCCAUUCAUCACUCUAACAGGCCCAAUUAGCCCAGGCCCAAACAUUAAUAAAAUGUCUAGAUUACAAAAUAAUCAACUAAAAAUUAAAAGCUCAAAAAAUAAAAUAAAACCCAUUAUAUUAACCCAAAACCCCAGCCCAAUUACAUUGAAACCCAAAAAAAAAAUAGUUUUCAGAAACCCCUAGGGUUUCAGAAGCCCCUCAAUGUUAUUUUGUAUAUCUAUUUAUCUUUUUAAAUUUUCGAUAUUGUCUUGUUUUGUUUUUGUAUUAUUGUUGUUACCAUCAUUAUUCAUUAUUAUUAUUGUUGAUUUUAUUGUUCUUUGAUUAAUGUUAAUGUUAGAGUAAUAGAUGUUAUGUGAUCAUUGUUAUUAUAUGUUAUAAUUUGUUUACACUCGUAUUGUAGUCAUUUGUCAGCUUAAUAUUUUGAGUAAUAUUUUAAAUAUUACAUUAAUUUCGACCCAAAUGCAUAAUUUUUUAAUAAGUAAUAUUUUAUAUUUUGAAAUUUGAGAGAUCAUUCCCUAACUUACGGGGUCUCAAUUUUUUCGAUAAAUCUGAAUAUACUAACUAUUUUCAAAAAAUAUGUUUUAAAAUUAUCUCGGGAAUUUAAAAAGGAGCGUGUUCUAACUUACUGAAUAUGAUCUUUUUUUUAAAAUCGAGAUAAUCAAAUAACUUUCAAAUAAAUAAAUUUUCAAUGUUUAUUCUCAUAUCAGGAUUUAAAAUAUUAUAUCCUAACUCACGGGAUACAAUUCUUUUUCUCGAUUAACAUGAAAUAUGCCCGUUUUAAUUUUAUUUUUUAAGUGAUUUUAACAAAAGGAUUGUAUUUUAAAUCUCUUCAAAAUUUUCAAUUUUUCGACAUUGAGACAUUAACUAAUCAAUUAGGUACCAAUUUUGGGCGUUACGAGGGUGCUAACCCUUCCUCAUACGUAACCGACUCCCGAACCUAUUUUUCUGAAUAUUGAAGGCCAAAAUUGUUUUAAUAAAUUAAACCCUUAAGACGUGACCCCAUCACACCUCAUAAAAAUUAUCGGUGGCGACUCUCGUUUGCGUUUUUGUUUUCGUUUUCAAAAUAAAAGUCGACCCCUUGUUUUAAAAAAGGUGGUUCGAUAGCUUGGCGACUCCGUUGGGGAAAAAAAUAAGAGAGUCAAGCCACGAGUUGAUUAUUUCUUAUUUUUUGUCAGAAAUUGUGAAUUCGAUUUAAAUUUACGAUCUUUUCAUUGCAUUUUAUGGUCUGCAUCAUUUUGAUAUGCUUGCUUUACUGGUUCGAGUCUUUUAAUCUCCGCAUAUUGCAUUGCAUAACCGUUCGGUUAUACCCUUUUAAGUGGGAGUGAGAAACUAUUCAUUUGUGAGAUUUUUACCUCCGUAUAGGAUAGUGGAUUACUUUCGGGAUACAUCCGUACCUAUGUCUUCGUGAGAUUUUCAUCUCCGUAUAGUUAUAGGGAAAUGUAUUCCCCUGAACUGAACUCAGUCCGUAUGAGCCUAUAAUAGGUAAGGAUUGAGGAAUCUGCUGGUUCAGGUACCCUUUCUUUAGAACUAAACUGCAUGUAGUGAGCCCUAAGAGCAUACCGUAGGUAGAACCACUCCAAACCCCUAGUGGUCACCCAAAUAGGUGCUCUAUUUAUUUUUGCUUGCUUAUUUUUGCAUUGUACUAACCUAUUUUUUUGUUAUGAUUGCAUUGCAUUUUCAUCAUAAAAAAGAUGUGUUGAUUCACGUUCAAUUGCUAAAUAGAGAGCUUGUCAUGGAAAACGGAUUUCUUGAUAAAGUGGAAGACAAUGUGGUUAUCCGGAUAUGGUCCAAGAAAAUUUGACGAAAGAAGGGUGAUAGUCUAAUGGAGGACUACACGACCUUGCUUUAUUGCCCGAGGAUUCAAGUUGACAAAGAUUAUUUGAGAGUCCUCAAUGUCCCGACCUUUUUCAAGAAGCUAACGAGUGUCACGAGGAUGAGUGAGUAAUGAGUUGCGGCCCGGAUCAAGCAAAAAAGAGAUAGAGGAGACACCCUUUUUGAAGAGUUCGCGAGAUUUAUAUUAAUAUCAAAAUGAAGAAAAAGAUCAAUGUCUUCGCCUGGAGUAUGAAAGCAAAGCUGUAUAUAUAUCCGCUUUAUGUAAAUAAAUUUGUUUUCUAGUAAAGUUUUUCUAAUAGAAUUGAAUCAGAAUCAAUGUCUUUUUUUGCAUUCAUUCCAUUCAUCUGCAUUGCAUUUCAUUGCAUCCAAAAUUUCACAAAAGGACCCUAAUUAAUUGAAAUUGUUAUAGUUACUCUGAAAACUAAUAAAAAUCUACCAAUUAAAUAUUCCUACGGUACCCGUCGCAAAACCAAAGUAAUGGAUCAAAUAUUAGAAAGAUUAGAACAAAUUCUGAAAGACAAGCAUAAUCGUUUUUGCUUAGGGUACAAGCCAGAUACAAGACAAAGAAGGAAGGAGUUAGAGAAGAAAUAGGAAAGAAUGACAGCAUAUUUGAGCGAGGAUGAGGUCAAAUGGGAGCCUAUGAACUUUCCCUACAUAUCCAAAACUUUUGUAUCGGGAGGGAUUAUUCAUCCCGAGCGAAGAAUGCCAAGAGAAGAAAAUAUUGAAGAAAUGUUGGGAAACGUUCACAUCAAUGCCAUAUACGAAGAAGUAGUUGAAGGAUGGACCUUGUUAGAUAUCCGACCUUAUGAACCUGGGAGUGUGCUAAACAAUUGGACUACAGAAGAAAUUCCUGUAGUGUUUAGACCUUACUCAGAGUAAUAUUCAAAACACACUUGUUGCUUUUAGCCUAGAAGUGAUAAGAAUCCCUCUGUGAAAUAGGCUCAUGUAUAAACAUCAUUAUUUUAAUAAAGUAAAUCUUUGCAUUCAUUUUGAGCAAAUAUUCUUUUAUUCUUUCCAUACGAGUAAUUAUUUUAGAUUUUUCAUUAUUUUAGGAUUUUCUUCCAAAAAUCAUUCUUUUAUUACAUUCAUAAUCAUACUGUACAAAUAAUUAUUCUUAAAUUCAUUCAUUCUUUGUAUAUUCUUUUGUACCUAUAAUAGGUCCCUAGAUAUCAACGACAUGAGUGACGCUGCUACAGACUUAGAAUUUCCUUUUAAACAAGACAUGUGUUUAGAGGGAUCCCAUGACUUUGAAGAUGACGUAGACUGUGGCUUAUCUCCGGACUUGUUAAGGAUGGUAAAACAAGAGGAGAAGCAAAUCCUACUUCACAAUGAAUCAAUGGAAAUUGUGAGCUUAGAAGGGGAAAAUAGGUGAAGAUUGGGACUGACAUUGCCACAAAUACGAAGUAAGACCUCAUUGAGUUACUCUAAGAAUUCAAAGAUAUUUUUGCAUGGUCAUACUAGGAUACGCUCGGGUUAAGUACUGACAUUGUAGUACACUGCCUUCCUAUAAAAGAAGAUUGCUAGCCAGUUCAGCAGAAACUCCAGAGGAUGAGGCCUGAUAUUGUGCUAAAAAUAAAAGAAGUCAAAAAGUAAUUUGAUGUUGGGUUCUUACAAGUGGUCAAAUAUUCAGAAUGGGUAGCCAACAUCGUCUCAGUUCCUAAAAAAAAUGGGAAAGUACGAAUGUGCAUGGAUUACAGAGACUUGAACAAGGCCAGUCGAAAAGACAAUUCCCUAUUGCCUCACGUUGACACUUUGGUGGAUAAUACAGUAGGCUACUCACUUUUUUCCUUCAUGGAUGGCUUCUCUGGAUACAAUCAGAUAAAGAUGCAUCCAAAAACAUGGGAAAGAUUACAUUCGUGACCCUGUAGGAAACGUUUUACUAUAAAGUGAUGACAUUCAGAUUAAAGAAUAUGGGAGCGACGUAUCAAAGGGUGAUGGUAACCUUGUUUCAUGACAUGAUUUACAAGGAAAUCGAGGUUUAUAUUGACGAUAUGAUUGCAAAAUCUAGAACAGAAGAGGAACAUGUGCAGGUCCUGAGAAAAUUAUUCUUAAGACUGAGAAAGUUCUAGCUCAAGCUUUCCAACGAAAUGCACUUUCGGAGCUAGGUCAGGAAAGCUAUUAGGCUUCAUAGUCAGUGAAAAAGGAAUCGAGAUCAACCCAGACAAAGUCAAGGUAAUAAGAGAUUUACCUCCACUAUGCACUCAGAAGAAAGUUCGAGGUUUCCUAGGAAGACUAAAUUACAUUGCUCGGUUUAUUUCACAACUAACCGAAAAAUGUGACCCCAUAUUUCAUCUUUUAAAGAAACAUAAUCCAGAUGUAUAGGAUGAAGAAUGUCAGGAAGUUUUUGAUAGGAUAAAGCAGUACCUAUCAAAUACUCUAGUGCUGUUACCACCUAGCCCAGAUAGGCCACUGAUAUUGUAUUUAACAGUGUUUGAUAAUUUUAUGGGAUGCAUGCUAGGCCAACAUGAUGAGACAGGAAGGAAAGAAAGGGUUAUAUACUAUCUCAGUAAGAAAUUCACUGAUUAUGAAAUAAGAUACUCGUCUAUUGAGAAAUUAUGUUGUGCCUUGAUCUGGAUAACUCGGAGGCUAAGGCGGUACAUGUUGUACCAUACGACUUGACUAAUUUCAAAGUUAGACCCUUUAAAGUAUAUGAUGGAGUCAACUACUUUGAAUGGGAGGAUGGCCAGAUGGCAGAUUUUACUUUUUGAAUUUGACAUACUUUAUGUGAGCCAGAAGGCUAUAAAAUGGAGUGCAAUAGCGGAUUUUCUAGCUAGCAGAGCCUUGGAGGAUUAUGAGCCUUUAAAUUUUGAUUUUUUGAACGAGGACUUAAUGUAUGUGGCAACCACUAAAGAAAAUGCUCAAGUGGAUCGCAUUUGGAAGCUAAAAUUUGACGGAGCCUCAAAUGCUAUGGGUAAUAAAAUUGAGGCAGUCUUAGUAUCCCCGAGCAGAGAUCAUUAUCCUAUUGCUGGCAAAUUGGAUUUUGAUUGUACAAACAAUAUAGCAGAAAAUGAAGCGUGUAUUAUGGGCAUCCGUAUAGCCAAAGAAUGUAAAAUCAAAGUGCUAAAGGUAUAUGGGGAUUCUGCAUUGGUGAUAUAUCAGCUCAAAGGAGGAUGAGAGAUAAGAGACCUCAAAUUGAUUAAUUAUCGAAAGUUUAUUCUCGAAUUGAUUGAUGAGUUUGAUGAUAUUACUUUCUCCUAUCUCCCACUAGAUGAAAACCAGAUGGCUGACACGUUGGCUACUCUAGCUUUCAUGAUCAAAGUAAACAAACUAGAAGACAUGAAGCCUAUCCAGAUGAGCAUUUAUGAGACUUUGGCUCAUUGCUACAGUAUCGAGGAAGAGGAAAAGGAUGAUCAUCCUUGGUACCAAGAUAUACUGCAAUAUGUAAAGAAUCACGAGUACCCUGAUCAGGCAACGAAGAAUGAUAAGAGGACAUUGAGAAGACUAGCCACUAACUAUGUCUUACAUGGAGAGAUUUUAUACAAAAAGGGAAAGGAUCGGGUACUACUAAGAUGCUGGAUGCUAUAAAAGCUUAGAAAAUCUUGGAGGAAGUCCAUGAAGGUAUCUGCAAAAUGCAUGCCAACGGUUUCACAAUAGUAAGACAGAUUAUGAGAUUCGGGUACUACUGGUCGACCAUGGAAGGAGAUUGCAUCAAUUAUGCCAAGAAGUGCCAUAAAUGUCAAAUUUAUAGAGACAAAAUACACGCACGUUCUUCACCUCUCAACGUUAUGACUUCUCUAUGGCCUUUCUCUAUGUGGGAUAUGGAUGUCAUCGGGCCAAUAUUGCCAAAGGCUUCUAAUAGGUAUCGUUUCAUCUUCAUGGUCAUUGGUUACUUCACUAAAUAGAUGGAAGCUGAUUCAUAUGCUAAUGUCACGAAGUCAGGAGUCAGCAAGUUCUUGAAAAGGGAGAUCAUAUGUUGAUAUAUAAUGCCUGAAAGAAUCAUAUCUGACAAUACAUUGAAUUCGAAAAAUAGCAAAAUAGCGGAGGUCUGCAAUCAAUUCAAGAUCAAACACCAUAAUUCGUCACCAUAUCGCCCAAAAAUGAACGGAGCAGUGGAGGCGGCCAACUAAAAUACCAAGAAAAUUGUGGGGAAAAUGUCUGAGACUUACAAAGAUUGGCAUGAAAAAUUACCAUUUGCCCUCUUUGUUUAUCGAACAUCAAUCAGGACUUUCGUCGGGGCAACGCCUUUCUCUCUAGUUUAUAAGAUGGAGGCAGUUUUACCCAUUAAAGUUGAAAUCCCUUCUCUCUGGGUAUUGGCUGAGCUAAAGUUGGAUGAAGCUGAAUAGAUCCAACCUCGAUAUGAUCAGUUGAACCUAAUAGAAAGAAAAAGGCUAAAAGUUAUUCACCACGGUCAGAUGUACCAAAAACGAAUGAUGCGAGCCUACAACAAAAAAGUUCAUCCCAAAGAAUUCUAUGAGGGGGACCUAGUGUUGAAAAAGAUUUUUCCUCUACAAAAGAAUUUUAGAGGAAAAUGGAUGCCAAAUUAGGAAAGACCUUAUGUUGUAAUAAAGGCCUUUUCUGGAGGAGCAUUGAUUUUGAGUGAGAUGGAUGGUAAAAAUUUUCCUAAUCUUGUAAACUCAGAUUCAUUCAAGAAAUACUUCACCUAAAGAAGGAGAAGGGACCAAUGUGAAAACCUGCAAAGGGCACUUUGAGUCUUAAAAAAAAGAGACCAAGGUGAAAACCGCAAAUGGUGUCUUAAGUCCUAAAAAAAAGAGGCCAAGGUGAAAACUAGCAAAGGGCGCCUUGAGACCAAAGGGGAUUUGAGUUGAAAACCCGAAAAGAGCGACUCAAAUAUUGAUUAAAAUGGGGCAUGCAGUGAUCUUGCUAUACUUGAAUUAAUAGGAAAGGGGUAUACGACAUCUUGGGGCAUCGACAAAGUACUAUAGAUCUCCUAAACACAUUUCAAACUCAAAAUGGUCUUUAGGAAGUUUGUACAGAGAAAUUCAAGCUGCGAUGUCUAGGGCACCUAGUCUUCAUACUAUUUAUAUUAAAUUUGCUAUUCUUGGAAUACUUUAUUCUUUUCAAGAUACGUGUUCCCAAUCAAUUCCCUUUUUAUUCUUCUUUAUCCUUGAUAAUUUAUUCAUUUCGAGCUAUGCUCCAAAUCAAUUCUAUUCUUAUCCAUUGUUAUUAUCUUUUGCAAGCAUGUUGUAUUGGAAUAAUGAUUAAUAGACUAAUAAUACUUUUACAAAUAAAGUGCUGUAUAUUACUCUAAAAGUUUCUAAAUAAUACAAGAACCUAAAACAGGACUAUUGUUUAGAACGCACCGGGUUUAAAGGUUAGAAAUAUCUGAGAAGGAAGAGUCCAAAUUAAGACUAUCCCUUCGAAUUUUGUUGUCAAAAUAUUGAUUGAACAAAACGACAAGAUAUCGUAUUGGUGAACAAACGAGCAAUGAUCACCAGGUAAUAAAAAGAGGUUAUUUUGGAAAAAAAAUUACAUUGGUACGACACCUUAGGAAUGGUGUAAGAGACCAAAGAGGUUCACAUCUUGUAUUCUUGAAUUGCAAUAGGAGAGGAUUGAGAAAGAGCUAGAUAUUAUACUCCUGAAUUAUAAUGGAAGGGAAAUGGUACAAAUUUUAUGUACCAAAAGUACAGUGGAUUGAACCUUGAAGAUUACAGUAGGGGAAAUCUGAUUAAGUAAAAUAUGAAGUGUUUCUUUGGAGAUACCAGUCGAACAAGAUGGCAUUAUGACGUGUCGGUGAUAGAGCCUUAAUGAAUAAUGAGCAAUAACAACUCAAGCAUUAAGGGAUCAUUUUCAUAACAUUCUGUAUUCAUUCAUACACAUCUAGUUAGGAGAUUUUGAUUCAUUCCGAUCAUAACAUCCAAAUCACUAGACAUAAAUAGGCCCAUGAAAUGGAUUCUACAGGUCAUGUUCCCCAUAGAACAGAUGGGUGAAACCACAAAUCCUAUACCGCUGAAGUUGCAGUGGGAUGGAUUGAAGUCAUUAUGGCGAGUCUUAUCUCCCUGAAGUUGCAAUGGAGCAUAUUAAAGCUAGUAAUCUUAUCUCCCUGAAGUUGCAGUAGAGCGGAUUGAAGUUACAAGUCUUAUCCCCCUAAAGUUACAGUGGAGCAGACUGAAGAUAGUGAAUCUUAUUUCCCUGAAGCUGCAGUGGAACAAAUUGAAGCUAUAAAUUGUAGAUUUUAUCUCUCUAAAGUUGCAAUAGAGAAGAUCAUAUCAAACUUUAUCUCCCUGAAGUUGUAGUGGAACAGGUUGAAAAUACCAAUCUUAUCUCCCUGAAGUUACAGUGGAGUAGACUGAAGAUAGCGAAUCUUAUUUCUCUGAAGUUGCAGUGGAACGGAUUGAAGCUAUAAAUUACAGAUCUUAUCUCUCAGAAGUUGCAGUAAAGCAGAUCAUAGAAAACCUUAUCUCCCUGAACUUGCAGUGGAGUAGGUUGAAGUUAUAAGUCUUAUCUCCCUAAAGUUGCAGUGGAGCAGACUGAAGAUAGCGAAUCUUAUUNNNNNNNNNNNNNNNNNNNNNNNNNNNNNNNNNNNNNNNNNNNNNNNNNNNNNNNNNNNNNNNNNNNNNNNNNNNNNNNNNNNNNNNNNNNNNNNNNNNNNNNNNNNNNNNNNNNNNNNNNNNNNNNNNNNNNNNNNNNNNNNNNNNNNNNNNNNNNNNNNNNNNNNNNNNNNNNNNNNNNNNNNNNNNNNNNNNNNNNNNNNNNNNNNNNNNNNNNNNNNNNNNNNNNNNNNNNNNNNNNNNNNNNNNNNNNNNNNNNNNNNNNNNNNNNNNNNNNNNNNNNNNNNNNNNNNNNNNNNNNNNNNNNNNNNNNNNNNNNNNNNNNNNNNNNNNNNNNNNNNNNNNNNNNNNNNNNNNNNNNNNNNNNNNNNNNNNNNNNNNNNNNNNNNNNNNNNNNNNNNNNNNNNNNNNNNNNNNNNNNNNNNNNNNNNNNNNNNNNNNNNNNNNNNNNNNNNNNNNNNNNNNNNNNNNNNNNNNNNNNNNNNNNNNNNNNNNNNNNNUCAAAGGAACAAAAUAUCACCUACAUCAUAAGGCACGAUCGCCAGAACUUUACUUUCUAGCCUGUCGAUCCGAUCCAAUCCAAUGAAAGAACACAAGGAGUCUUAAGAUCUGUCAACUUUAUUUCAUUUUCAUUUCUUUGUCAUUUUCUAUGUUUCAUGUCGAAUACAAUAAAGAGAACAUAGAAAAAUGUGGCCUAUUUAUUUCCCAAUCAUCAUGAAAUUACUUGCCAUUGACUUAGAUUUUCUCACCAAUUUCAAGCAAUCUGACAUGAUUUCUCAUCACAAUUAAUUGAAUUCAAGAUCUUUUUAGAUGACACAAACAUUUCAUUUUAACACAAACCAAUAUUUCGGUUAUACUUCAGUGCUUGACAAGCACUUUCACAUUUGUGGAUAAGAACUCUUAACAUUUUAGGAUCACAUUUAAUUCAAUUGCAUUUAAGACCUCAUGGUUUUAUUCUAUAAUUUCAGUCUUAUCAGCCUUUUCGGAAACAAUAAAACGUCGACAUUAAAUUUGUUGUUGAUGCAUUCAAUUUUUUGGGUCUUUGGAGUUAUGUGACUUUAGCAUUGACUGACUUUUUUAUAAUUUAAUAAUAAGGUAAAUAUAUUAAUUUUAAUAACAUCGACAUGUUUUUUAGUAGGGUCGAGCAAAACCCAAUUAAAAUCGAUGAUAUUGGCUUAGUUGACUCGGUCAAGUCCAUUAGAUUGAUAAAAUCAUUUUUAAAAUCAGUUAUAAUGGAUAAAGGUAAUUAAUUAUCGAGUAAUGAAAUACAUAAUCAAAUCAAUUGAUUUUGUUAGAAACUAAAAGAAAAAGGGCUAAGCUGAAAAUUGAUUGCCCUUUAUUAAAAUUAACGAAUCUGUCUUUUACGUAUUAGAUAAUAUGAACAUCGCAUAUAUAAUAAGAAAAUUACGUAUGAUUAUUUAUUAUCAUAAAAGGUUAGUUUAAAUUUAAAGUAAUCUAAUAUGUUUAUUGAACUUCAACUAUUAAAUAAAGUAUAAGCUAAAUAAGUAUAAAUAUUCUAGAAACCAUUUCUAACUGAUGAUAGGCUAAUUCGAUUAAUUUAUAAAAACUAGAUAGUAGGGUUAUAGUCCUCAAACUACACCUAAUUUAAUAACAUUUAUAUUUUUUUUAGCCUUAAACAUUUAUAGUUUUGUUAAUUUGGUCCUUACUCUUUAAAAUUACAUAAAAAAUUGCAAAAAAAUUAAAAAUUAAUUUUUAUCAUGAUUUAAUAACAUUUAUAUUUUUUUUUGUGGUUUGGUAACUUAUCAACUUGACUCUUACUUGUAACCAACUUUUCUAACCUUUUUCGUACCCUUAACCUAAGUCCCGUUACAAUUUCUAAAGACCUCUUGAUUGGUGUAUCAUCUCGAUUUGUUUUUAUAGUGGUGGAGAUUUGUUUUUUGUAGUGGGCAUGAUUGCCAGAACUUUACUUUCUAUCCUGUCGAUCCGAUCCAAUGAAAGAAUAACAAAGAGGUCUUAAGAUCUGUCAACUUUAUUUCAUUUUCAUUUUCUUUGUCAUUUUCUAUGUUUCUUGUCACAUACAAUGAAAGAAGAACAUAGAAAAAUGUUGCCUAUUUAUUUCCCAAUCAUCAUUCUAACAGGCCGAAUUAGCCCAGGCCCAAACAUUAAUAAAUGUCCAGAUUACAAAAUAACCAACCAAAAAUUAAAAGCCCAAAUAAUAAAAUAAAACCCAUUACAUUAACCCAAAACUCCAGCCCAAUUACAUUGAAGCCAAAAAAAUAGUUUUUAGAAACCCCUAGGGUUUCUGGAACAAUCCGCGCCGCUCCUCCAUCCGCUUCUCCACGCACGCUGCACCUUUCCACGUGCGCCUCCAGCUGGCAGUGUACCUCCAAUGCAACAAACAAAGCAACAAGCAGCAAAAGAAAUGGAAAAACAACAAAAAAAAAAGAAGGAGCAACAAUGUAUAACAGAUUGAUAACAAAUAAUAGAAAAAAUAGCAGUAAAUAGGAAAAAAAAUUAAAAAAUAAUGAGGGUAAUUUCAUUUUUUUCUCUGUUUUGGCUAUAAAGAGAGCCGGUCAAAAUCUCUAAAGGGGGAUUUAGAAUCAAUCAGAAAACAAGUAUUUUGUACCAACAAUUAGAGAAAAAAAAUACAAAAAUAGGGAUUGAAGGUUUUUUUUUUCUUUCGUUUCGAUUUAUUUAAAAUAGCAUAGAAAAUAAAAAGAAGGCUUACCUUGCGACGCCUUCAGAUCCUCUCGAAAAGGGGCUAAAAGGCCCUAUGUGGCACAGAUUUGACCACUGUUCACGGUGGAACCGCAGCGGAGGCGCAGAGGAUUGGCAUCAAUUUAGGCAGGGUUUGAAACCCUAGCAGAGAAAAAAUUAGGGUUGAUAGAUUUUUUUUAAAAAAAUGGCAAAAUGUUGUUUUUAAAAAAUUUUGUUUUAAAAAAAUUGUUGCUUUUAUAAAGGGUGUAAAACGGCGUCGUUUAGGGCAUGUUUCGAUGGCCCCAAAACGGCGCCUUAUAAGGCAACCCCCGACGACCCGACCUGCUCCAUGGGGGAUCCGCGUGGUUUUUGUUAAAUGGGUUAUGUCUAACCCUGGCCCUUCUACUUUUUAUACUUGUUUUAAUUUGAUCCUCUUUUUAUUUAUUUUUAUUUCUUUAAAUUAAGCCUGAUAAUUUUUUUCCAUUACAUUUUAAUCCUUAAUGAAACGGCGCGUUUUAGAGGAGAAGGGAAAAUUACCCUUCUAGUCCCUUCUUGUUAUUCGAGUGUUCAGAAGGGUCCUUUUUUGUUUAUUUUUUAUUUGCCCCAAAAUUUUGUUUUAAAGCUUAAUUUAGUCCUAUUUUGUUAUUUUAGCUAUUUUAUUAUUAGAUUAAUUAAUUUAAUAUUAUUAUUACUGCUAUUAUUUUACCCCUAUUAGUUAUAUAUUUAUUAUUAUAACUAUAUCAUUAAAUCAAUUAGUUUUUACAUUAUUAUUUCCAUUCUGUUUUUUAUUUACUUACUUAAAUACUUUAAAUGCAUUUAUUUUAUUUCUUAUUUUUUUAUGAAAUUUCAAAACUUUAGACUAUUUUUUUGUUACUAUAACCCUAAUUUCAUUCAUUUUAUAAUAGUUUUUUUUUAAAAUAUUUCUUAGAUUAAUUCCCUCGAUGUUAUUUUGUAUAUUUAUUUAUCUUUUUAAAUUUUCGAUAUUGUCUUAUUGUAUUAUUGUUGUUACUAUCAUUAUUCAUUAUUAUUGUUGAUUUUAUUCUUCUUUGAUUAAUGUUUAUGUUAGAGUAAUAGGUGUUAUGUGAUCAUUGUUAUUAUAUGUUAUAAUUUGUUGACACUCGUAUUGUAGUCAUUCGUCAGCUUAAUAUUUGAGUAACAUUUUAAAUAUUACAUUAAUUUUGACCCAAAUGCAUAAUUUUUUAAUAAGUAAUAUUUCGUAUUGUGGAAUUUGAGAGAUCAUUCCCUAACUUACGGGGUCUCGAUUUUUUUGAUAAAUCUGAAUAUAAGAACUAUUUUAAAAAAAUACGUUUUAAAAUUAUCUCGGGAAUUUAAAAAGAAGCGUGUUCUAACUUACGGAAUAUGAUCUUUUUUAAAAAUCGAGAUAAUCAAAUAUCUUUCAAAUAAAUAAACUUUUCGUGUUUAUUCUCGUUUUAGGAUUUAAGAUAUUGUGUCCUAACUCACGGGACACAAUUCUUUUUCUCGAUUAACGUGAAAUACGCCCUUUUUAAUUUUAUCUUUUUAAGUGAUUUUAACAAAAGGAUUGUAUUUUAAAUCUCUUCAAAAUUUUCAAUUUUUCGACAUUGAGACAUUAACUAAUCAAUUAGGUACCAAUUUUGGGCGUUACAAGGGUGUUAACCCUUCCUUGUACAUAACCGACUCCCGAACCUAUUUUUCUGAAUAUUAUAGGCCAAAAUUGUUUUAAUAAAUUAAACCCUUAAGAGGUGACUCGAUCACAGCUCAUAAAAAUUAUCGGUGGCGACCCUUGUUUUAAAAAAGGUGGUUUCAACAGCUUGGCGACUCCGCUGGGGACAAAAAUAAGAGUCAAGCCGCGAGUUGAUUAUUUCUUAUCUUUUUGUCAGAAAUUGUGAAUUCGAUUUAAAUUUAUGAUCUUUUCAUUGCAUUUUAUGGUCUGCAUCAUUUUUAUAUGCUUGCUUUACUACUUCGAGUCUUUUAAUCUUCGCAUAUUGUAUUGCAUAACCGUUCGGUUAUACCCUUUUAAGCGGGAGUGAGAAAUUAUUCUUUCGUGAGGUUUUCACCUUCGUAUAGGAUAGUGGAUUACUUUCAGGAUACAUCCAUACCUAUGUCUUCGUGAGAUUCUCAUCUCCGUAUAGUCAUAGGGAAAUGUAUUCCCCUGAACUGAACUCAGUCCGUAUGAGCCUAUAAUGGGUGAGGAUUGAGGAAUCUGCUGGUUCAGGUACCCUUUCUUUAGAACUAAACCGCAUGUAGUGAGCCCUAAGAGCAUACCCUAGGUAGAACCACUCCAAACCCCUAGUGGUCACCCAAAUAGGUGCUCUAUUUAUUUUUGCUUGCUUGUUUUUGCCUUGUACUAACCUAUUUGUUAUGGUUAUGAGUGCAUUGCAUUUUUAUCAUAAAAAAGAUGUGUUGAUUCACGUUCAGUUGCUAAAUAGAGAGCUUGUCAUGGAAAACGAAUUUCUUGAUAAAGUGGAAGACAAUGCGGUUGUCCGGAUAUGGUCCAAGAAAAUGUGAAGAAAGAAGGGUGAUAGUCUAAUGGAGGACUACACGACCUUGCUUCGUUGCCUGAUGAUUCAAGUUGACAAAGAUUAUUCGAGAGUCUUCAAUGUCCCGACCUUUUUAAAGAAGCUAACGAGCGUCACGAGGAUGAGCGAGUAAUGAGUUGCGGCCCGGAUCAAGCAAAAAAAAGAUAGAGGAGACACCCUUUUUGAAGAGUUCACGAGAUUUAUCUUAACAUCUAGACGAAGAAAAAGAUCAAUCUCUUUGCCUAGAGUAUGAGGGCAAAGCCGUAUAUAUAUCCGCUUUAUGUAAAUAAAUUUGUUUUCUAGUAAAGUUUUUCUAAUAGAAUUGAAUCAGAAUCAACGUCUCUUUUUGCAUUCAUUCCAUUCAUCUGCAUUGCAUUUCAUUGCAUCUAGAAUUUCACAAAAGGACCCUAAUUAAUCGAAAUUGUUAUAGCUACCUUGAAAAACUAACGAAAAUUUACCAAUUAAAUAUUCCUAUGGUACCCAUUGCAAAACUAAAGUAAUGGAUCAAAUAUUAGAAAGAUUAGAACAAAUGCUGAAGGAUAAACAUAACUGCUUUGGCUUAGGGUACAAGCCAGAUACAAGACAAAGAAGAAAUAGGAAAGGAGAACACGUUUGAGCGGGGAUGAGGUCAAAUGGGAGGGAUUAUUCAUCCCAGGCGAAGAAUGCCAAGAGAAGAAAAUAUUGAAAACAUGUUGGGAAACGUUCACAUCAAUGCCAUAUACGAAGAAGCAAUUGAAGGAGUGACCUUGUUAGAUAUCCGCCCUUAUGAACCUAAGAGUGUGCUAAACAAUUGGACUGCAGAAGAAAUUCUUGUAGUGUUUAGAGCUUACUCAUAGUAAUGUUCAGAACACACUUGUUGCUUUUAGCCUAGAAGUGAUAAGAAUCCCUCUGUGAAAUAGGCUCAUGUAUAAAAAUCAUUAUUUUAAUGAAGUACAUCUUUGCAUUCAUUUUGAGCAAAUAUUCUUUUAUUCUUUUCAUACGAGUAAUUAUUUUGGAUUCUUUAAUUCUUUUGGGAUUUUCUUCCAAAAUCAUUCUUUUAUUACAUCCAUAAUCAUACUGUACAAAUAAUGUAAUAGCCUGAAUUUUCAGUGGUGUCGGAAUGGUGAUUCAAGAUCACUAAGUCUGACAAAUGAGUAGAAAAUAUUAUUAAUUUAGUAAGAAUAAGUAAAUGUGAAGUUAGGAAAAUUUUUGAAAUAGUGAAUAGUGUACUAGGAAUAAAUAUUAAAAUAAUUAAAAUAAAAAAUGAGGUAUCGAGACCUCGAAGAUUUUAAACCAAGCCAUAAGUACUUUUAGAAGUAUUUUUAGAGUGUCAUUGAGUUGGUAUUAAAGUUUCGUUAGAAAAUUUUAACGCUCGGAUAGUUAAUUAACCAAAAAGGACUAAAUUGAAAAUAGUGUAAAAUUUGUUAAAUUGUGAUUAAAUAGCUUAAGUGAUUAAAAAGGAGGGAUUUAAAAGGCAAUUAGGCCCAAAUUAUAUGGGCUGGACGGUUGGGUAAGAAAAAUCAGCAGAAUGUAAGGAGAAAACAGGGGCAAAAUUGGAAACUUAACAAAUUAAACAUAUAAAACAAAGACAAAAGUGAAAAAUCUAGAGAUCUGUUCACAAUUUAUCAGCAAAAAUGCCAUAGGAGGUCUGAAAGAAGCUGGUUUUUCAUAUAUUUGAAUCAUGUAAGUUUAAUUCUUGAUUAUUUCUUCUAAUUUUUGUGAUUUUGAUACUUUUACAAUUAGGUCCAACUAAUUAUUUCAUUAGUUUUUGAUUUCAUGGCUGAUUUUGAAAGUUACCAUUGAUGAGUGUUGGAUUUUUAUGAUGAAUAAACAUGGAAUUAAAGCUUUAAUUUUGUUAUAUGAUGAUUUUAUUAAGUAAUUUUGAUAGAAAUUGAUUUUUGGGACCUAAUUGUGAAAAAGUUUGGAAUUAGGGUUUGGUGUUGCGGUUUUGAAUAUGAAAGGCUAUGUAGUAGUCUAAAAUAGUUGGAAAAGGUGUUAAUUGAGAAAAAUUAGAUCAAUUGAGGGGUUAAUUGAGUAGGACCAAAUUGUAAAAACUGUAAAGUUUGAGGUAAAAGUGUAAUUUCGAAAAUUUAAGGGCAUAAAUUGUGAAGUGAAUUAGAAUAGAAUUAUAUGCUGAUGAAUGAAUAAAUUUGUAUUUUAGAUCGAGAACCCGAAGCAAGCCGAGGAAAAGAAAAAGUAGUUGAUUAGUCCCUGAACUUUUACAAAUUCUGCAAAUCGACCCAGGUAAGUUCAUAUGGCUGAAAUUUAAUGAUUAAAUGUUAAUUUCAUGAAUUAUGUAAUGUAUGAUGAAAUGUAUUUAGUGUUGAAAUGAGAGUAAAAUAAAAAUGCGAAAAUCGAAUAAAUGAUCAAAUUAAGCGGAACGCCGGAUUUGAGUACUUCUGAUCAAGAGACAAAGUGAUAAGUGGUAGCUUUAGCUACACUUAUCUGAUCAAGUGAAAAAGUGAUAAGUGCUACACUUAUCUGAUCAAGAGACAAAGUGAUAAGUGGUAGCUUUAGCUCACUUAUCUGAUCAAGUGAAAAAGUGAUAAGUGCUAUACUUAUCUGAUCAAGUGACAAAGUGAUAAGUGGUAGCUUAGCUACACUUAUCUGAUCAGGGCCAAAUGAUAAGUGAUCAUACGUAAGACCAUAGUUAUACUAUGGCCAAGUGAAAGUGAAGUACUCAAUUUUCCGUAACCGUUCCUUAAUUUUGAUCAAGGAUGGUAAGUGACAAAUAGGCCCAAAGAAAUUAUGGUAAAAGAAUAAGUAGUAGUGAGUUUAUACCAAGGAACUCUCCAAAGAUUGUGGUUGACAAGUAAACUUAGUAAUGGUGUAUAUUGUAUAAGUGUACAAAUGUUUGGUAAGAUUUAUGUUUGUGCCUAUGAACUUACUAAGCUUUUCUAUAAGCUUACAUGUGUGUGUUUAUUGUUUUUCUAGAUUAACGUAUUUAUACAUUCGGAGGAUCGGAUCUACUUCGAGAAUCACACUAUCCAGAUAUACUCCGGUAGAUUUUGUUAAACAACUUUUUGGAUUUAUAUGGCAUGUACAGAGAAUUGAAGUAAAAAGUAAUAGAAUGAAUGACUGAGUAUGCAAAGUAAAUUUGAAUGUGAUGGUUGUGUUAGAUAUUGAAAAAUACAUGUUUUUAGUUUGAAAUGGUUGAUUGGCUGAACUUCGUUAGUAUUCAAGUGAAGUAGUUGAAAUACUGGAAUUGGUUGUGAUUUGAAAUUUGCAGGGAAGGUUAGAUAAAUAUAAAGGGGUUAUAUUGAUUUUUUUUUUAAAUUUCAAUGGAAUAAUUUUUGGACAGCAGCAUUGAUGUAACUUUUAAAAAUCACCAAAAAUAGUGGAAAUAGAAUUAGAAGUUGAAUGAGAUAUGAAAUUAAAUCUGAAUGAGUCUAAUUUCACAUGAAAGAAGUAGAAUAAGAAAAAGAGUUAUAUAUUUUUAGAUAUUUGAAUUUUAGUGAAACAGGGCAAGAAUGUUUUUGAAGUCCCCUGUUCUGACUUUAGAAAUUUAGUAAAAAUUGUACAAAAGGAAUUAUGAAUUAUAAUUUAUAUGUUUAAAUUCCGUAAUGAGUAUAUUUUAAGUAGAAAUAAUUGGAACCACCAUAUGAAGUCUUUGCAAUGAGAUAAUUGAAUUUUAGUGACAAGAGGUCAGGAUAGUCAAUUAGUGAAAUAGGGGAGACUUCAACUAAUAAACUGUAUUAAUUUGCUAAACCAAAAAUUCUGAAAAAUUUAUGGUGAAUAUACAUAUGAGUCUAGUUUGAGGGAAAAUUUACGGAUCUAAAUUUUUAGUUUCGUAUCUUGAGUUAUAAUUAUUUUAGUGACUACUGCGCAUGUGGACAGCUUUGUUGUGAAUGGUGAAAUUAAUUUUUAAAGUAAAUUUUUAUGCCCCGAACUUUUAAGUUCAGUCAAGUAACGCCUUAUGCUCGACUCCGGCAACCGUCUUGGGUAAGGGGUGUUAUAAAUAAUUAUUCUUAAAUUCAUACAUUCUUUGUAUAUUAUUUUGUACCUACAAUAGGUCCCUAGAUAUUAACAACAUGAGUGACGUUGCUACAGACUCAGAAUUUCCUUUUAAACAAGACAUGUGUUUAGAGGGAUCCCAUGGCUUUGAAGAUGACGUAGACUGUGGCUUAUCUCUGAAUUUGUUAAGGAUGGUAAAACAAGAGGAGAAGCAAAUCCUACCUCACAAGGAAUCAAUGGAAAUUGUGAGCUUAGAAGGGGGAAAAGAGGUGAAGAUUGAGACUAACAUUGCCACAAAGACAAAGCAUGACCUCGUUGAGUUACUCCAAGAAUUUAAAGAUGUCUUCGCAUGGUCAUACCAGGAUACUCCCGGGUUAAGUACUGGCAUUGUAGUACACUACCUUCUUAUAAAAGAAGAUUGCAAGCCAGUUUAGCAGAAACUCUGAAGGAUGAGGCCUGAUAUUGUGCUAAAAAUAAAAGAAGAAGUUAAAAAGCAAUUUGAUGUUGGGUUCUUACAAGUGGUUAAAUAUUCAGAAUGAGUAGCCAACAUCGUCUCAGUCUCUAAAAAAGAUGGGAAAGUACGAAUGUGCAUAGAUUACAGAGACAUGAACAAGGCCAGCCAAAAAGAAAAUUUCCCAUUGCCUCACAUUGACACUUUGGUGGAUAAUACAGUAGGCUACUCACUGUUUUCCUUCAUGGACGACUUCUCUGGAUACAACCAGAUAAAGAUGCAUCCCAAAAACAUGGGAAAGACUACAUUCGUGACCCUAUGGGGAAUGUUUUGCUAUAAAAUGAUGUCAUUCGGAUUAAAGAAUGUGGGAGCGACGUAUCAAAGGGAAUGGUAACCUUGUUUCAUGACAUGAUGUACAAGUAAAUCGAGGUUUAUGUUGACGAUAUGAUUGCAAAAUCCAGAACAGAAGAGGAACAUGUGUAGGCCCUAAGAAAAUUAUUCUUAAGACUGAGAAAGUUCCAGCUCAAGCUUUCCAACGAAAUGCACAUUCAGAGCUAGGUUAGGAAAGCUGUUAGGCUUCACAGUUAGUGAAAAAGGAAUCGAGAUCAACCCAGAUAAAGUCAAUGCGAUACGAGAUUUACCUCUACCAUGCACUCAGAAGGAAGCUCGAGGUUUCCUAGGAAGACUGAAUUACAUUGCUCGAUACAUUUCACAACUAACCGAAAAAUGUGACACCAUAUUAAAAUAAAAAUAGAUUAAAUUGUAAGUAAAACAUAAUUUAAACAUAUGAAUACAUCAAAUUAAUAAUACUAAAUGAAUACAGUUAUUUAUGAUGAUGUUGUUGCCAAUUCCUAAUUUGGUGUCUAGUUAAUUUGUGACAUCAUAAAUUUAAGUGAUAAAUUUAAGGUUUUAUGUAUUGAUGUGGAUUCAAAUAUCACCAUAAUUUUUGUAAAUAAAAAACUAAUAAGAUAACUUAUAUUAAGUACGAAAGGGUAUUUUUAUAAUUUCUCUAAUCGAGUUGGUGCCCGGUUGACUCAUGACACUAACUCAAUCAGAAGCUUUAAUAAUAAUAUAGAUAUUCAUGUUAAAAAAACAAAAAAAAAGUACUUUAGUUCCAAAUAAUUAUAUAACAAGUAAAUUUAUAAUUGAUGAAUAAAUUUAUAAAUAAUAUAUUUAUAUGAUCUAAUAUAUUAUAUUUAUAUUAAUUAUAUAUCAUCUACAAACUUUGAAGAUCAAUUUAUUAAGUAAAAAUGAAAUUGUUAACACUAAAUCAAUUUUUAGAUUUUGUAUAGAUGAUUUAGUGAUGAUAAAAACAUUAUUAACACUAUUUUUUAAUUAACAAAAAAUUAGUGAUAUAUUUAAAUUAUAUUUAUCAUUUAUUAUUUUUAAUAAUAUUUUUUAAUUAUAUGAAGUAAAAUUAUAUUGUAUACUAAAUAUGGUACAUAUACUCUAAUUAUAACUUGAAAUUUUAUUAUAUAAAUUAAUAUAAAUUUGAAUAACAAAAUAAAAAAAAACUAAUUAGAAUAAUUUUAAAAAACAUUAUUUAAAAGUAGUUAAAAAUCACGUGCAACAGGUGAGAUCAAUGGUCUUUAGAGAAGAAAUGUUGAAGAUCAAAGUUGGAAUCUGGCCUAUAAGGCCUUUAAUUGCUUUAAUAUUAAGCAGUUCCAAACCAAGAAGAUUACCGAUUUCCUCAGGAAUUUGACCUGCACACAUGGUCGAAAAAUCAAUGUGUCAAACUACCUAUUUUGUUAGCAUAAGUCAAAGAGGUUUUCUUUUCUAUUCUACAUAAUUUGCAGAUGUUAGAUUUUAAUAUUUUUAAGCAUAUUUGUUUUCAUCAAAUUAACUAUUUUGAACUAUUUUGCCUUGAAUGAAAUAAAAUGCUCUUACUUUUGUUAUCUAUUACUAAUCAAACUCUUUUAUAAAAAAAAUACUUUAAACUAAAGAAACCAAGAAAAUUCAAUACCUUCUAGGUUAUUCAACCCCAAAUAUAAUUCUUUGAGUCGUGUCGGAUUUCCAAUACUUCUUGGAAUGAUCCCCAUCAAUUGAUUAUAGGAAAAUGACAAAAUUUUAAGGUUGUUGCAUUUGCUUAUACUUGACGGAAUGUUACCAUAUAAUUCAUUCCGACUCAAGUAAAGCCCUUCAAGCUUGGAAAGAUGUGACACAUAUCAUUAGGCAAGCUACCUGAUAGGCUAUUGUUGGAGAGAUCAAUGGCCUUCAGAGAAGAAAUGUUGAAGAUCGAAGUUGGAAUCUGACCUGUAAGGCCUUUAAUUGCUUUAAUAUUAAGCAGUUCCAAACCAAGAAGAUUACCGAUUUCCUCAAGAAUUUGACCUGCACACAUGGUCGAAAAAUCAAUGUGUCAAACUACCUAUUUUGUUAGCAUAAGUCAAAGAGGUUUUCUUUUCUGUUCUAUAGUAAUUUGGUGAUGUUAGAUUUUAAUAUAAUUCAGCACAUGUUUUUCAUCAAAUGAAAUAAAAAGUUUUUCCUUUUGUUAUCUAUUACAAAUCAAGCUCUUUUAUUAAAAAAAUACUUUAAAUUCAAGAAAUCAAGGAAAUUAAUUACCUUCUAAAUUAUUAAACCCCAAAUAUAAUUCCUGGAGUCGUGUUAGAUUUCCAAUACUUCUUGGAAUGAUCCCCAUAAAUUGAUUAUGGGGCAACAACAAAUUUUUAAGGAUGUUUCAUUUGCCUAUGCUUGACGGAAUGUUACCAGAUAACUCAUUGCUAUGCAAGUGAAGCCCUUCAAGCUCGGGAAGAUGUUGACACAUAUCAUUAGGCAAACUACCUAAUAGGCUAUUCCUGGAGAGAGCAAUAGUCUUGAGAGAAAAAUGUUGAAGAUCGAAGUCGGAAUCUGAUCUGUAAGGCCUUUAAUUGCUUGAAUAUUAAGCAUUUCCAAACUAAAAAGAUUACCGAUUUCUUCAGGAAUUUGACCUGCAGACAUAGUCGAAACAUCAAGGUGUUAAAUUUCCUAUUUUGUUAGUGUAAAUCAAAGAGGCUUUUUAUUUUUUUUCGUUAUGAAAUAAUAUGGAUAUGUUCGAUUCUAAUCAUAUUUAAGUAUAUAUUAGUUCUUGAAAGAAUGAGUUCUUAUUUUUGGUAUUUAUAUUGCAAAUAUAUAUUUUUUUAAAUUUAAAAGAAGGGAGGGGGCAAAUGUGUUUAAACUAAAGACAUCAAGGAAAAGGCAUACCAAGUAUAAUUGUUUAAGUUGUGUCAAAUUCCCAAUGCUUUUUGGAAUGAUCCCACUAAAUUGAUUAAUAGACAAUUCCAAAAUUUGAAGGUUGCAGCAUUUGUCUAUACUUGAUGGAAUAGAACUUGAUAAUUCAUUUCUACUCAAGUAAAGCUCUUUCAGCUUGGGAAGAUGGACACACAAAUCAUCGGGCAAGCCACCAGAAAGACUAUUAUCACAAAAAUGAAUCCUUUUCAAAGAAGAAAUGUUAAAGAUGGAAGAUGGAACCUGGCCAGAUAAUUGAUUGAAUCCCAAGUUCAAGAUCUCUAGAUUGGACAAGUUGACAAGUGUUUGAGGGAUCGUGCCUGUGAAGUUAUUAUUUCUCAUUUCCAACCUUUGAACUCUGUGCAAGUUCCCAAGCCAUGGUGGAAUUUCCCCAUUAAGACGGUUGUAGCUUAAUCGAAUGAUCCUCAAACGAUGCAAUUGGCCUAAUUCUUUAGCCAGAUGGCCGUAGAAAUUGUUGUUGCUCAAGUCGAUAGAAAAUAGAAAUGAAAGAUUUCCAAGGUGUGGAGGGAUAGUACCCCUAAGAUUCAUGUUUGUAAGAUUAAUCAAAGCUACAACUCUUUCAUGGAUGAUGCCACAAGAAACACCAACCCACUUACAGACAGAGGUAGAGUUCGUCCAAUUGUUUGCCAACACAUUUUGAGGAUCGACAAUGCGAUCUUUAAACUCAAAGAGUGCAAACUGAUCGGAGUUGAGAUUCCGGACUGUCAUAGCCAAGGAAACAAUAGAACAUUGUAUGAAUAAAAGUGAAAGAAGAUGAAAGCAAGUGUUGUAGUUCAUGAUGGCAAGACGAAAUAAGCCAGGAAAAGGGAAGUUGAAUUGAUGAAGAAAUAGCCAGCCAACAUGCUUAAAUAGGCUUCAACCCUUGCACACUUCUCAUACAUAAAGUUCGCUGCCAUUACAACAAGAAAACUCAUAUCUCCAUUCGUACCUAUCCAUACUUUAUUUGACUAACUUUUCCCUAACAAGUGUUCAGUAAGGAGAUAAAUCAGUUUGGAGCUAUUCACCGGCUUCUCCAAUCUUGGUUUCAAACUCCUAACCCAUCAAUUCACUUUAAUUGAAACGAUAUACACGAGUCUUUCGGCUUAUAUUUUUAAUUUAAUUUUUGUUACUUUUCAUAAUAUUUUUUGAGAAAUCCAAAUAUUCCAGUCUGAAAUUUCUUCAUUGCCACGUCUAUCUCCUGGGUAAGUCCGUGGUUAGGCAGCCCACUUUGGGAGCAGGAUUGUAAUUGUAAUUCUAUCCGACUCAUUUUACUAUUUAGAAAUAUAAAAGUAAUAUUAUAUUAUUUUUUAUAUUUUUAUAAAUUUAAUUUUAAUUAUAAUUUUUAAACAAUAAAACGAGUCAUUUGUAUUUGCCUAGUCUAAAUUGAAUCAGGAGUCAAAAAAAUUUUAAUCAUAAUUUACUAUUAUUUUAAUUAAUUAAAAUUUAACCUACUACAACUAGUAGUUGCAGAAAAAAUGUCAUUCCUUUAGAAAAACGAAAAUCCUUUAGAAAAAUGAGAACUUAUGAAGCAUUCAAUAAGAGUCAUUGGAAUAAAUGGUAACGAAAUCAUAAUUCAAUAUAAAGCUAAAAAAUGUACCAAUCUAUAUAAAUAAUGUAAGAUUUGUGAUACCUAAAUUAUUAUAUUUUCCAUAAAUAUAUGAAGAUAUUUUAUUAGGAAAUAAUUUUAUAUAUAAAAUUUUUUAUUUUCUUUUGAUAGAAAUUUAAUUAUGUUAUCUGUAGAAAAAAAUAUUUAUAGAAAUAUUAUUAGUAGAAAAUCAUAAAUUUGUGUGUGGCAAAAAAAAUUCACCACCAAGAAAGGGGCAAAUUAAACAACUUGAAACAAGUCAUUGGUUGUUUAAAAUAUUAGAUAAUAAUUUCAGUGAAGAAUCAUUAAAAUUAUGACAAAAUAACCCUAGAUAUUGUAGUAUUAAAUUGGAAAAUCUCAAUAAUAUUAUUAGAGUAAAACCUAUGAUCUAUCUAAACAAGAUAUAGAAGAUUUUGAUAUACAAAUUAAGGUUAGAAAUCAUGCGGAAAUAAAAAAGAAAAAAAAGCUAGUAUGGUCAUUAAUUAUAAAAGAUUAAAUCAAAAUAUUAUUUUUUUAUAGUUACUUGAAUUAAUCAGGCUAAACAAACAAAAUAUUUUAGUAAAUUUGACUGCAAAUCAGGAUUCUAGCAAAUCAUGAUAACAGAAAAGUCCAAACCUUUAACGGCUUUUAGUGCACCCAAUGGACAUUACCAAUGGAAAGUGAUGUCAUUUCAAUUAUGUGAUGCACCACAAAUCUUCCAAAGACGAAUGGAUUUUAUAUUUAAUAAAUAUAAAAAAAUUCUAUGUAGUCUACAUAGAUGAUAUUUUUUAUAUUUUUAGAUACACUAGAAUUACAUAAGAAACAUUUAAAUAUUAUUUCUUAAGAAUUCAUAAAAUAUAGAAUCAUAUUAAACCCUAAAAAUAUAGAGUUAGAAAAAAGAGAGAGAAUUUUUAUAAUAGUGGAAAUAAAAAAUUGUCCUCAAAAGAUUGAAGAAAAAAAGAACUUCCAACAAUUUCUAAUAUAUUCCUCCCAAAUUUUCAGUUUCAAUUUUAUUACAGAAUUUCUUUGCCGACAAUAAGAAAUUAAGAGCGCUCUUUAAGUUGAAUAUAGUCCGUCAGAUAUGGCUAUCUAUAACAUGGAACCUUUGGUUUUCAAGCUGAAUAGGAGAAUUGAUUCACUUGAUAAGUAUGAAAAAUUGAAACUGCUAAAUUUAAGUGCACUAACUCUGGAUAUCAUCAUUAUUUUUCUGUACAUUAAAGUACCUGUUUGAUAUGCGAUUUCUGCCUCAAACUAUCAACAUCUUUAACAUCCUUUUGCUAUAGUUAGCAUGGGUACUUCCUUUUAGAUUAACAGUUAGGUUUGAACUGUGAAUUAGAUUUCUGUGGCUGCUGGGAUUGAAGAAGUUAGUAUGCGAAUGACAUUGGACAAAUUUGGCAAAGUCUUCUCCAUCAGUGAAGAAAACCCCUUGGCGUAUGAAAAAUGUUCACCAUCUUAGACAUUUGUUUUCUUAUUGUAAGAAUAUUUUUAACAUUGUAACUUUUAACAUUAUUGUAAGAAUAUUUUGAAUUAUACUUCAGUUAUCAAUUUAUAUCAUAUAUCUUUUGUUGAAUUUGAAGUAUAAUUUAUAUUUGCUGUUUUUGGUUAGAUUUCAUGCUAUAGGAAGGGUUGUAUAUGGAUAGAAAUUGAAUGUUACAAAUCUGCCAAAGUUAGUGGCGUUUUUUCAUAAGAGCUGCUAAAGAAUGCUAUUUUUGGCGGUGUUUGUAAUAAAAGAGCCGCUAAAGGUCAUGUUCUUUAGCGAUGUUUGUGGGUAAAGCGCCGCUAAAGAUCAUGUUCUGUAGCUGUGUUUGUGGAUAAAGCGCCGCUAAAGAACAUGACCUUUAGCAGCGUAUUUUCACAUAAACGCCGCAAAAUUUAGCGGCUUUGUCUAUAGCGACUUUUUUUGCAGCGCUUUAAGUUUUAGCGGCGCUUUUAGGCCUAAAAAAGGGCCGCUAAAAGCCUGUUUUGCUGUAGUGAGCAUAUUUACAUUUUCGUCCCAAUUUCAACUAACACCCCAUCUAUUUCCCACUUCCCUUUUUCGGGCAAUUUCAACUAACACCUUCAUAUCAAACAUAACUAUUUUUCAAUUUUUCUUCUUUAUUUCAUUAAUAAAAUUAUCAAUCUAUUUGUUUUUAAAUAUAUAAUUUCAUUAAUAUUUUUUAAAUUAUAAUAUAAGAGUUGUUGUUUAUUUAUAGUUUUAUUACAUUAUUUACUCUCUCUUUUCUAUCAAGUUUUUUAAAUUAUAAUAUAAGAUUUAUUUUAUCAAUUUGUGGCUUAUCCAGUAUUCAUCUAUUUUAAUAAUAACUUGAGUUCCAGUCAUUAUCAUACCAGAAAGAGUUCCAUUUAUUCUUUAUCGUAAAUUUUAUAAAAAAAUAUACAUUUUAUUAUAAUACUAUAUGUGUUACGAAUAAUAUUUUAUUGUGGAUGCCCAUAAUUUUCAAAGUUGUAACCUCUAAUGUAGUAACCUUAAUGAAAUUAUGAGGCUUUUAUAUUGUAAUCAAGCCUCUAUUUAUUCUUUGUAACUUAAACAGAAGCAUAUUUUCUAUUAUAUUGAUAUUUUUUAUAGAUAUAUAUAUAUAUAUAAGGAAUCAAAUAAAAAGUUAUUUACCUUUCUAUUAUAUUGAUAUUUUCUAUUUGAUUUGUUCUUUUCUUUCACUAUUCCAUAAUAUAUUAUCAGUACGAUUUUAACCAAGAGUAACAUGUUAUUAGAUUGUGUCAAAAUUUUGUUGAGAAUCAUUAGAUUGUUUCCUUUUUCUUCUAUUUAGCCCCAAAUUGCACCCCUACACAAAAUUCAACAAAAACAUGGAAAAAUUAGUGGUGCACUCUCAUAAAUUAACCAAUUUAAUUACAUAAAAUAUGUAACUUUAGCAUUUUAUCAAUCAUGUUCUUUAGCGGCAUUUGUGGGUAAAGCGCCGCUAAAGGUCAUAUUCUUUAGCAGCGUUUGUGAUAAAAGUGCCACUAAAUAUCAUGUUCUUUAGCGGCGUUUGUGGAUAAAGCGCCGCUAAAGAACAUGACGUUUAGCAGCAUUUUUUUACAUAAACGUUGUAAAAUUUAGCGGCGUUGUCUAUAGCGACGUUUUUUGCGGUGCUUUCAAAUAGUUUUAGCGGCGCUUGUAGGCCUAAAAAAAUGCCGCUAAAAGUCUGUUUUGCUGUAUGAGCAUAUUUACAUUUUCGUCCCAAUUUCAACUAACACCCCAUCUAUUUCCCACUUCCCUUUUUCAGCCAAUUUCAACUAACACCUUCAUUUCAAACGUAAUUGUUUUUCGAUUUUUCCUCUUUAUUUCAUUAAUAAAAUUAUCAAUCUAUUUGUAUUUUAAAUAUAUAAUUUUAUUAAUAUUUUUUAAUUAUAAUAUAAGAGUUUUUGUUUAUUUAUAGUUUUAUUAUAUUAUUUACUCUCUUUUUUCUAUCAAGCUUUUUAAAUUAUAAUAUAAGAUUUAUUUUAUCAAAUGGUGGCUUAUCGAGUAUUCAUCUAUUUUAAUAAUAACUUGAGUUCCAAUCAUUAUCAUACCAGAAAGAGUUCCAUUUAUUCUUUAUCGUAAAUUUUAUAAAAAAAUAUAUAUUUUAUUAUAAUACUAUAUGUGUUAGGAAUAAUAUUUUAUUGUGGAUGCCCAUAAUUUUCAAAGUUGUAACCUCUAAUGUAGUAACCUCAAUGAAAUUAUGAGGCUUUUAUAUUGUAAUCAAGCCUCUAUUUAUUCUUUGUAACUUAAACAGAAGCAUAUUUUCUAUUAUAUUGAUAUUUUUUUAUAGAGAUAUAUACAUAAGGAAUCAAAUAAAAAGUUAUUUACCUUUCUAUUAUAUUGAUAUUUUCUAUUUGAUUUGUUCUUUUCUUUCACUAUUCCAUAAUAUAUUAUCAGUACGAUUUUAAUCAAGAGUAACAUUGUAUUAGAUUGUGUCAAAAUUUUGUUGGACUUCAAGUAUUGGAAUUUAAUUGUUUAAGUUAAGAAUCAUUAGAAUCAAUGGCUAUUUGAGAUAUGCUUGAGGAUGAUCUCAUUCUAUUCAUCACAAAGGUGGAGGUUAGAAAAUCUUUAUGUUUAAACAUUUAUAGCUUUAAAGUUAUUUUAACCUCUUAUUGUGACCUUAUAAUAUUUUGUAAUUUUUUGUAUUAUGGUAUAUAAAAAAAAUCUAACCAUAGUGAUUGAUUAGUAAUAUGAAUUUGUUAUUUGUUAUGUUUAAUAUAUAUUUUAUUUAUACUUAUUCAUUUUAUUUUUAUAUGAGUAAAUGAAGUGUUUGAAGAUUCGAAAUUUUUAUCAUCCAAGUUGAAAAUAAGUGCAAAAGUGUACAUUAUUUAAAAUAAAUUACGCAUUCAUUAAUGUUAUAUGAUAAAAUCAUUACAUGUUCUAAAGAACUAAUAUUGCAUCAAACUGUAAAAAGCUCUUGAAGAGUUAAUAUUUUACCUCCUUGUGAUACAAAAUCAUAUACAAUAUGAUAUUAUUUUUCAAAUCGAGUAGAUAUAUGUUGAGGGAAAUCUUUAUGUGGUUUACAUUAAAACCAUGGAUAGAAAUGACAUGAGAUACUCGUGUAUUUUUAUUAUAAAUAUUCCUUGAAGGAAGACACUUCACUUGUAUGAUUGACAUAUGAGAUAGUGGCAAGAAGUUCAUAGUGUUGGUAUGGUCGUCUAGAUCAUCUCAAAUCAAUAAUGAUGCAAAAUAAUUUGAAGAGAAUUUAUAUGAUUUUAUUGAAGAAUGAGAAGAUAUUUUCAUUUUGAUAAUUGUCAUCAAUACUAGUUCUUUGGAAAAAAAAUAUUGAACUAACAUAAAGUUAGAGGUUGGUUGCAUUUUUUGAUGAUAUCCAAAUAAUAUAUGAGCUCAUGUAUCACAUGUAUGCAACCCAAAGUUUACAGUAUUAUUUCUUGAAAUAAUUUGAUUCUACACAAUCUCUAUAGUAUGCAAUUUGUGCUAACAACGUUGGUGCAUUAUAUCCUAAGCUUGAUUUUCGUAGUUUUAGCUGAGAUAAUAUUAAGUUGUCUAUGCCUAUAUAUGUUAUACUUAAUGGUUAGCAAAAUUGUGCCUCCAUUUAAUUGCUUAACCAUUAAUAUAAGAAUAACUUUAAAAUAAGCAUGUAAUUUUAUUUGCAUAGAGUCAACAUGUAAGAAACAUUUGCCCCAUGAGAAUUGGCUUUCAUUUAUAAGCCAAUAGGUUUCAUAUGACUAUUUGGAUGUAAAAUAUCUAUUUUAUAUUCCACCAUAAUGCACUAAGAUGGUCCAUCAAGUAUGAAGUUGAGAAAAUUUAGAAUUUUUAUUUGAUGGUAAAAGUUGAAAAGAGAUAUAUACUUAUAAUUUUGAAAAAAAUAGUCAUGUUGCAAAUUUUUCUCAAUAUUAGGGGGAGACAAGUUGGACAAAUAAGGAUAAUUAUGUCAUCACUUUUUGUGAUCCCUCACUAAUAUUAUGUGCACAAAGUUUGAAGGAAAAAAGUAUUUGCUAGACAUGUUUAGUGAUGACACUUAGAGAUUGUAUAUACUAGAUGAUACAUAUACCAGCUAAAAUGUUCCAAAUAAUUAUGAGUCCUAGAAGGACAUAGUGAUAAAAAUAAUUUUUGGGCACGCUAGAAGGAUAAAAAACUAGUUCAUUCUAUAAAUCAAAAAAUUCUUGAAAGAAAAGAGUAAGAAAUGAAGCUGGCCACACAUUAAAGGAAACGAGUACUCAUGAAGAGACCUAAGGCAUAACUUUUAAUAAAACCCCAAAAGAGGUUCAAUACAUGGAAUUAUGAAUAUAAUAAGAUAUCUCGAUUAGUUAUAUCAUAACUAAAGAUGAUGGGGUUGAUAAAAGGAAAUUGUUGUUAACAACGAUAAUCUAAGUAGAACAUUUCAAUAUUAUGGUAAAAUGAGUAUUUUGAAUGAAAAUAUACUUGAAAGUAUUUAGAUGGGAACAACUCAUCAAAAUAAAUAGACGUUUCUAUUAUAACUUAUGAAAUGUGUCUCGGACAUGAAGUCCAAACAUUCGACAGGUGUAAAGCCAAGUGGAGUAUAUGUUAGCAUAAUAGUGAAAAAAUACAAAUCAUAAUAUAUAAAAUUGACUUGUAAGACAAACUUUCCCAAGACACUUGAUUUUGAUUAUGAAAAAUGAUUAAUUUGUGAUCUUAUCAAUUGAACAUACUUUGUAUAAUCAACAAAUUAUUAAUUAACCUCAUUUAACCAAUUUCCUUCAACACAUUUCAAAUCAAAUUAAUGUGUUGAGCACGCCCUUAACCCUUUUUCUUGAUUCAUUGCAUAGUCUAUUUCCAAGUACCAUAAUCAUCAACAUUUCAAUAUAUAAAGUCAUAACAUAAUGAAUCAUAGUUAGAAUUUUUUUUACCCUAUUAACCAAGUAUGGAACAAAAAUAAAAACCUAAUUUGUCAAGCUCAUUCAAUCAGCUUAUAUAUUAUAAGAAGAGCCUAAGUAUAAAUCCUAUACAUGAUUUCAAAUUCAACUAUUUAUAUUUGAGAUUCAAUUUAAAAUUCAUACUGAAAUUAUCAAAUUAACUCGUAAGCUACUCACGCUAAACAUUAAGGUACUCGAAUUCAAGUGGCUAGAUAUCAUAAACACUUUUAGCUUGUAAAACUAUUUCUAAGGGUCAGCCCAGAAUCAUGGUUGAACCCAAAAUCUGGUAACAAAAAUUUAAUUGAGCCAUCAGCCUAAAACAAAAAAGGCUUAAAAGGUUGGCACCCGAACAAUCAAAGAUAAACACCACCAUAUGCCACUCCCUGAAUCCGAUACAUACAAUAACACCCUUCACCACUUUUAUUCUUCUCCUUUUUUUUAACCUCAAUUUGGAUGGUCGCAUUUCUCUUUUUAGUGCUUUAUAGGGUUUGGGCUUUCAGAAUCCUCAGAGAUGCAAUUCAUGGAUCCCUCUAAGAAAUGCAAGCUUGAUGAAAAUGGUAUUAUUUCAACGGCAUCAGAACCUGACCCAAUCACCAAACUAACCCCACAAGAUGGCCGCAAGCUAAUCGAGCAAUUUAUCGUCGAUCAACUCCUUGACGUCCUCCAAGAUGCUGUUUGUUGUCACCUUGAUGUUCUUUCCGCCGUACACUCUAUUGCCGAUCAAGAUCCAUCUCAAAGGAAGCUUUUCAUCCGUGGUUGGGUUGGGAUACUACAACCCAACCCAACCCACAUUAGCAUACUACCAUGCGGUAACUUCUAGUGAUUUCUGUCUGUAACAUUAGACAGGUUAACAGUUAAAUCGUUCAACUGAAAGAUUUCUUUGAAGGAAGAGGUCAAUUGAUUUUUUUUGGAAUCAUUGUGUACUCAGUUGCAUUUAAGACGGGUAUCAUUCAUAAAGUAUAUAUCUACAUCAAGAAUGGUAGCCUCUUAUAUUAUAUUCAUGUAUUUAUUUUGCAUCUUUAAUUAUAAUAGGAUUUUUUUUGUUUAUUUAUAGUUUUAAUUAUAAUAUUUUUUAAAUAUGCCAAAGUAAAUUAUGUACCAAUUUUAAACUUCUCCUAGGUAAUUUAACGUAAGGGCAUUUAUGUUAUUUUACCACUUAUGAUAAAACUAACCUAAUUUUAGAUCUAAGUGUUUACCAACCUUCUUUUAGUCAAAUUAUGCAAGCCUAAAAUUUUUAGCUUAAUUUGAGUUUGUUUACUAUGUCUAAUUCAAGUUUUAUUAUUAAGAACUAAAUUGUAACUUAAACAAAUUAGAAUACCAAUUUAAAGAGACAAAAAUUCAAAGCCCCAAAACCCACACGGGCAUGUGGGUAAGUGACACAGGCGUGUGGAAACUGGAGCUAUCACACACGGGUGAGUGGGACUGAAAAAUAUGAAAUAAAUUAAUCCAUUUAAAUUUCCAACAACCAUGCUAUACUACCAAACCAAAUAAUGUUAGAAGCUUUGAAUAGGGGCGAAUCUUAAAAAAAAUAGAAGAAUUAGAAUUAAAUUAUAAAAUUUUGAGAAGUUGUCAUGUAUUAAUUUAUUAUUUUUUAAAGGGUCUUAAUAGAUUUUUUUUCCCCAUUUUGGUUUGGCCAAUACCCCUGUCUGCCUCUUUCAAUUUGCUUCAACCCUUAGCCCAAUAUUCGAUUUGUUGUGGAAGUUUGACGCAUAAAAAUUCCUUUUUUAGAGGUUUAAAUUAUAAAUUUUUAUUAACAAAAUAUAAAAGAAAAAAACAUGUGUAGACAAGCCAAGAAACCUUUGGGAUCAUACAGGUGAUUUUGAGAUGUUCAUGGUUAUUUUGGUGGAGAGGGUAAAAAAGAAACAAAUGAUUCAUUAUAUAUGAUAUAAUUAUGAAAUUCAAGCCAUAUAUUGUAUGUUUCAUCCAUACAAAUUUCUUGUAGCAUUAAAUGACUCGUAGGCUUGCUGAAUUUCUUUGAAAGGCCCAAAGGCAAUUUAACAUUCACAAAAUAAUCUCUAAAUAGUGUAAAGACAAAUCAAAUCCACAGUAGCAUUAGAGUUGAUUAAGCUAAGCAUUGGCAAAUAUUACUUUGAUUUUGCAUGCAAUAUUGGCAAAACCCCCUCUUACAUUAGAAAAACAACAUAAUCCAUGAAACAUUGAUAGCCCAAUACAAAUUUCAUCGAGAAAAAAGUCUCUUUGUUUUGUAGAACAUGAUAGUAAAGAUGUGGAGUUUCGUUCUUCUUAUUGGCCUCCUUUAGUUUUCCUUGAUCAACAACCACUAGCCAAAAACACAAUUAGAUUAGAUUAUGAAUGAUACUUUCAACUAUGACAAUAUUAAAUACAAACCACUCUAAAUAACUCUAAAUAAAUGGAAAGCAGCAAAUUACCAGACGAGGCAAGCUAGCUCAAUUAAGACCAUUGUGUUAUACUUGUCUCUGAAUUGAAAAAUUUAGAAGGAAAUAAAGAGAAAGACUUAGAAAAUACUUGAAAACAGAAAAAAAAAUUAUGUCAUUUAAAAUAAAAAAUUUCUAUUCAAGCCAUUUAAAAUUUGUAAGAUUUUUAAAAUUUUAAAAUGAUAAAGGUAAAAUUGUACUUUGGCACCCCAAAAAUGAUAAAACUUUGAUUUAAUUAUUUAAAAAUUAUAAAAAUAUAGGCUAUUAAAAUGGUGAAAUUAUAUUUUUACUAUAGUAAAAAUUACAAUUUAAUUUCACCCCUAAAAGGAUUUUCUGGCUUCGCACCUAAUAAAAUCUUUGGCAAAAGACUAAAAUAAAAUUAUACCAUGAAUGGAAAAAGAAACUAAUAAAAUCCAAUCUAACAAAGAAAAUAACUUGAUGUCCAAAAGCUACCAUAAACCGUAAUUCAUGGGAAGGCUUGUUGCUUAUUUUAUUGGUUUCCAUUUUGAAAGAAGUUUGAAUUUUGAAGAGAGCCUACUACGUGAAAGCAAAAGAAAAAAAAAUAGUUUAUAUGAUUAAAAUUCCAGAAUAGAUUAAAAAUGUUGAAUUAAAGAUAAAAUUAAGUGUGAAUUAAUAACCACAAGUGUACUCUUUACUCACCAUCUCUGUUAAAAAUGUUGGAUGUUGUUUAGCAACCUUUGUUUGAUUUUCUUCAGCUCAACCACAACAUCUUUCAUAUCUUUUCUUUCUUCUGGUAACUCAGCUGAACAAUUCAAAGCCAACUCCAUGAUAGAUGAAAUACAAUUUGCUUUAACAACAAUGUACUCAUCCUCUCUUCUUAAUAAAUCAACAUCUGCAAUUUCUAUCGCUCCUUUAGGCAAUGAUCUUUCCAUCCAAUGCCUUAUACUCUCUUCUUCAACAAAAACCUUAUCAGUUGGCUUUUUCUUUGUGAAAGUUUCUAUAAGGACGAUCCCAUAACUAUAGACGUCAGAUUUUAUAGAAACAAUUCCUGCUGAUCCAAAUUCUGCAUUUCAAGUAUAAUUAGAACAUCAUUCAUCCUCAAUUAUUUCUAAAACGCUUAUUCAAAUAUCUAUCCACAUACACGUGAAACAAGAAUAUAAAAUACAAAUUAGGAAAAUAAUCAUACAAAAAUAAAAAAAAGAAUUCACCUGGUGCCAUAUACCCAAUAGUUGCAAGAGUCAUGGUUUGCUUCAUUACUUCACCUUCUCCCAACAAUUUGGCAACGCCAAAAUCUCCAACAUGUGCAACCAUGUCUUCAUCUAGUAAAAUAUUGCUUGGUUUUAUGUCACAAUGAAUUAUAGGUGUUGGAUGUCCAUUGUGGAGGUGUUCUAUAGCUACCGCAACAUCUAUCAUUAUGUCGACCCUUUGUAUGAUACCAAGGAAACAAUUUUCAGAAUGUAACCAUUUCUCAAGGUUUCCAUUAGACAUGUAAUCAAGCACCAAGGCUUUGAAGUCAACACUUGAGCAGUAAGUAAUGACCUUCACAAUAUUACGAUGAACUAUAUUAAGCAUAGCAUCACAUUCAAUGUCAAAACUCCUAAAUGCUCCCUCUGUUUGCAAAUUGAAAACUUUUAUUGCAACUUCCAUUCCAUCUGAAAGCCUCCCUUUAUAUACAUAUCCAAAACUCCCUGAACCAAGCGUAUUGCUUUCCUCAAAUCCAUUAGUUGCUCGUGAAAGUUCAGCAUGUGAAAUUCUUCUCAGUGUCUUCAAAGACAACAAAUCAUCUUUAACUGGUAGAGCUGUACUCCUUUGGCAUCUUCUAUACAUAAUAGUUAAGACUAUUAGUACUAGGACAAUACCAAUUGUUGGUAAACCAUACCUAAAAGCAUGCAAUAUAAUCAUUUGGGAGUUUUUGUGGAUGUCAUUUUUGCAAGGUGGGACUAGCAAUCUAGGUGGACCACAAAGUGCACAAUUAUUCAUGAAUGAUGUGCUAGAAAAGUUUGAAAAACAUCCUUUGCUGGGAAUUUCCCCUUCAAGUCUAUUGAAAGACACAUUAAAAUACUUUAGAUAUAAAAGCUUUUCCAAAGAUUUGGGAAUGACUCCAGAGAGAUUGUUAUUGCAUAAAUCCAAGAAUUCCAAACUAAUCAACCCAUCAAAUGAUUCAGGGAUAUGACCAUGUAGUAUAUUAUUUGAUAAAUCUAAUGAAACCAAAGUUUGAAGACCCCCAAAUGUGGAUAAGAUAUCGCCCAUGAGAAGAUUCCUUGAUAAAUUUAGUCUCAGUAGACUCCUAAAGUUUCCAAC